rnacentral:lncRNA from 1 species
UUUUUUUUUUUUUUUUUGUGCCAACUUGAAGACAUGAUGCCAUGAAUGAAAAGAAGAAAAAUGGAAGACAAAAGAAAAACACGCGAACGUGGAUGAGUGCAAACCAAAGAGCAACAAGAGAUGGAUUAGAUAAUGUCGUUAAAGGGACGAUUAUAUACUUAGUGCCAGAUCUGGGCAGCUUACAGUGGACAAAGAAGCCCACGGUGAGAGCGAAUCUGAACGUAUAUCUGGGUUUGCUUCGCGAAUCUACCGGUUGCAAACACAUAGACACAAACACACAUGAGACUUGACGCAAAUGAACGUACAUGUUGCAACGAAGCUUGGUAGAGACAAUUAAUGUAAAACCUUAAACUCUACUCUAAGGACCCUUAAGACUUACAAGGACUUGAUAAAAUAAAGAAAAGUUGGGUUAAUAGGAAAAUGAAAUAAAAUUUCUUGGAAAGAUGGGUUAAAGAAUAAGUGAUAAAGUUGGUAUGUUAUUGAAAGUUUAAAUAGGAAAUCAAGUUCAAAAUAGCUAAGUGUGAGUUAGGCGUGGAAGGAAGGCUAGGCGGCUAAUUGAGUCAAGAAAAACCUAUAAGGAAAACAUUGAGCAAGCUAAGGGUGCUUGUGUGUGUAGGUCGAGAGGUUAGAUGUACCAAAAGAACCUCUAAGAGUUCAUUUAGGUGGCCAAAGUAGGUUUGAGAAUCUCUAAUGAACUAGGUGAGAUGCGCAAGUUGGGCGGUCAUAUGGUAAGUGAAAACCUCUAGAGACUUGUUGGGUACCAAGCUUAAAGAAGAAGUUGGUGAAAUAACCUCUAACGGAAUUGCAUUGGGCAACCAUUGUGUUUGGCAAGGAGACAUGACAUUUCUAGGUGAGAUGAUGGUGCUAGGCGUGAUGGCUUGUAGGCAGGGUGUGCAAGGAUGAGCCUUGUGGCCAUGGUUGUGAGGUUAGCAUGUGAGCAAAGUGAAGAGUUGAGCAUGGAACUAAGGCUUGGGCGAUAUGAUAAAGGUUAUAAGUCUCAAGGCAAGUUGGUGAGGUGGUUUCCAGGUGCCCACAACAUGCAACAUGCAUUUUUGUAGCAAGCAGGUGGUGGCAUGAUGUGAGAUCAAGUUGGCAUGCAAGGUUCUCUAUAAAAGAAUGACUUCAGACAAUGAGUUGGAGCAAUUCACUCGUGCGUUUUGCCUUAAACUACUUGUAAAAACUUUCUUUAUGAGUUUAUUUUAUUAAGGAGGGUUGUUGCACGAAAAGAAGGCAAGAAGACAUAGGUUUAAGUUAAAUAAAAAGGAAAAGAUCAUUUCCAAAGAAAUUUUGAGCAGAGUUAAGCAAGUUAAGACAAUUCUAACAAGUUUUGCAGAAGUAGCUUUUUCAUUUUGAGGUCUAGAUUAAAAGUUAUAAGCAUUGCAAGUUGAUUGAUGAUUAUAGAAAUUUACAAUUUCUGGGUAAGCCUAAGGUGGCCAAGAAACACAGCGUGAAAAGGCUUGACAUGCAUGUGCAAAUCGGGUAAAGAGGUUAUUUGCGUGUUUUGGGGCACACGACACGACCGAGGCAUAGCCGAGCGACAAAGAUGCGCUCAGACCAUGCACAUGGCCAUGCAUGCAAAGCAAAAUGAUGCAUAAAGAUGAGCACGCACACGUGAAGGGAGAGCUGUGCAAUGCCAUGCCAUCAGGCACGCACGACAUAUGUGCAUGCGUGCAUGCUGUUUGCGCUCAUGUUGUGUGGCCAACAAUGCCCUAACAUGGUUAUUGGGUUGUUUUGCUAUUUUUUCAAUUUUGAUCAAAUGUUGGGUAUUUUUCAUGGUCAAGGAAUUAAUUAAUGCUGAUUUAUGGACUUUUCGGGUCAAGGAAGGUUUGAAGAAAAUUCUAGGCCAAUGGUUGAACCAAGUAUUGUGAGUGACAAAAUAGAUUUCUAAAUUGGUUCCUAAGCAUGUUUUAUAAACUGUUGUUUGGAAUAUGUUUUAAUUUGCAAAGUAUAUUUGAGCUUACUAAUUUUUAUUGAAAGUUAUAAAGCGUGAUUGUUUCAUUAUUUGCAAGUGAAACACAUAAUUGAGCAAAGCCUAGAUUUAAGCUGUUUUACCGAAAUCUAUGUUAUGUUCAAAAGUAUGCUUAUGACCAUCUGAAAGAAAAAGUAUGUUUUAAGCCAAGAUUUUAAGCAUGUUUUUAAUGAUCCUAGGCUCGUAUGUUCUAAGAGUACUAUAUGUGGUCCUAUGUGCACAUUUGGUGUGAAGGCCGACGAGCCUAUGGUCUACAAUCCAUCAAGGAAGUUAUACUUUGUUAUACCUACGAGGAGAAUGGUAUAGUGGUAUUGGUAUCCAAUGUCCAUCUUCAGAUGAUGAUGUGUUCUGCUGCCUAGUACGUCUUUUAUUGAUGGGAUUAUUUGACACCCAACCGUCUUAUGACGAUAAGGUGUUAGUACUGCCUAGGUUAUGGAUUCAUGAUUCCAGAAAGGUUUAUGAAAUGUCAUCAAAUGUUUAAUGUUUACAAGUAUCGUGUUUAUAAAAUGAUUUCUUACUGCUUGAAUGUUUUUUUAUGCCAAGGUUUAUGGUAAUUUGUUUAUGACAAACAUAUUUUAUAAAAUCGUCACUCACUAAGUGUUUUGACUUAACCUUUCAAAUUUUUUCUCGCUUUUCAUGUACAGAUUGUGCAUUCUUGAGUGUUGAGCUUACUACUAUCAGGCCAAUUAGUUUAUUUUGUUGUUAAGGAAUAGUGAGAGUUAAUUAAGUUGACUUCGUAAACAAGUUUAGGAUAGACAUGUUUGUAAUUUUAGGAUAAAGUCUCAUUGAUAUGUCUGUGUAAAUAAAAAUCAUGUUUAAGCUUCCGUUGAGUUAUCAUGUUUAAGUUUUCGCUGUUAUAUCAUAGAAAUUACAAUUAAUGGUCUAAGUUAUUAGUAUAAGCAUCAAUUGUCGUAUGAUUGCUAGUCGAGUAAGGCAAGUUAGUCGGUUGGUAAAUGUUUGUCAAGUUGUGGCAACGGUUGCCAACCCUCGAACCUUCUUUUGGGAGCUUGGUGACAAUUCAGUUAAGGAGCUCCGAGAGGGAGUGUGACAGUUAGGUUGUGAUGGGUUCGAUCGAUGGUCAAUCUAUUCGUACAUCAAUGCAUAAAUCAAUGCACGAAUCUGAUUUGGGCAAAAAAACUAUGCAUAUUUGGUUAUUUGGUUUGUCUCUAUCGACAACAGAGAUCAGAGGAGACAAUCUAAAAUGUCUUUUAUUUGUGUGAUUGAAUAAGACAAACCUUAUAAACUUUGCUGAUGCCAUGAUAAUUUUAUAUAAUACAUUGAACAAAUCUAAUGUGUACAAAGUAACCUAUUAAAUUAGUGAAUAAGCAGAGACUAAAAUACUAACGAAGGAAACAUACAAAUAUAGUAAAUAUUAAAUAAGAAUAAAAAUCUCCUUUUAAGGCUUAUAUGAUGUUCCAUGAUUAGCCAAUCUAAAACAACAGAAGUUCCAUAAAGGGCUCUCUUUUUCAACUCUUUUAUUGCUUAAAUUUUUAUAAAACUCGUAACAUGUAAGUAGUACUAUACAUUGAUAUCUGAAUGGACUGAAAAUGCAAAAAUCAUAGUAAACUGAACGUGAAUGUUUUAUGGACAAAAGUUAUGAUAUAUACCAUGCAUGUUGUUCAAAUGUGCUCACAGGUACUCAGAAUGUUGAAACUGAAAUAGCUCGAGCCGUACUAAUAGCUUCGCAAUGGUUGAUUUCAAACUCGAAUCGCCUUUUUGGGAUAAAUCAACAAGUAUUGACCAAGCAGUUUCUCCAUAUUUGACUCUGUGCUCCUCAAUUCUGAAUAUUCUCUCCAAUAUCCACAAUGCUUUUUGUUGAGCAUCAAUGUGGCCUGAACCUAAAACUUUUAAGAUUGCUUCAACUCCAGACAUCUUAACUACGUAGUUGCUUCCAUUGUCACAAAUUUCAUCUUCCAAAAGCGUGGUAAGGGCGCUAAGAACAGCUUCAUCUACUUCGCUUUCUUUUCCUUCCAAAAUUUCGAUCAUAGGACGGAUUGCAUCAGCCUUCACCAAACAAAAUGUUCUUUUUGUCAAGCAUUGCCUUCCAUGAACUUCACAAAUUGAAUCUUUUGAAGGAGGCACACAUAACCACCUUGAUGUCCGGGACUUGCUAAGAGAGAGCGAGUUCUGUGACAAUUGAGCUAGUGAAAUUGCUGCUUUGCUCUGAGCAACGGGCGACUCGCUUGACAGCAACUUCACUAGUAAAGGAAUCACCCCUUGUUCUACUGAAUGAAGUUGUAGUUUCCUAUCGAAUGGAUUUGUAAACCGUACCAAUAAACCUGCUACACUUUCAGAUGAUAAAGAUGCAAAAAUAUCUGAAUUAGCCGAGCUGGAAUUCAUAAUCGAAAUCAAGAUGGGCACGAGAUUUGCUUUUCUCAGCAAAUCAGUAAUUUUCUUUUGAGUUACAGGAACAUUGCUCAGUAUACCAACUGCAAAGACCCUUUCAGAUUUACAAUCAGUAGAGGAAAUUAUAUUCAGAAUUAGACUGAUGUGGCUCUCUUCUAGCUCUUCUGGUGCGUCUUUCGAUAAAGUGUAAAGCAAUUUCAAGGCCCCACUCUUGACCUUAGUAUUAUCUUCCAUCAAAAACGGAAAGAGAAGCUGGAUUGCACCACUCUCCACCAUCUUUUUUCGAACUUCAAGCGCACUGGGAUUAGCAGCAAUGUUAUUGAGUGCUUGCAAGAGGUGAUUCUGAAUUAUAGGACUUGAUAAAUUCAGAAGUGAGAGCAUUUGGAGAGCCACAUCGUAGUUCGUCAGGAUUGAUUCUGAUUCAGAAAUCUUUGCAAGAAUUGCAGCUGCAGGCUCUCGUAGAGUCAUAAGCACAGAGGUUACAGAGAAUAGAAGCUGAAGCAGUGAAACGACAAUCCCAGAACUAAUCAAUCGUUGGACAUUUUCCUUCAAACCGGAGAGGCUUUGCAAUGCGCUCAAUGCUGAUAAUUUAGCUUCAAGUUUUUCAGUACGGAACAUUUGGACAAGAGGUUCAAUUACCCCUUCUUCUCCUAGUGAGGCCUUACUUUGUUCAGUGUGCUCCAUCCUUGAAAGUCCCGUUGCCAUAAGGAUCUUAUUCAUGUCAGAACCUAAACACAUGGAAACCAUUUGACAUUAAGAACUCAUGAAUUGCUUGAUUUCAAAAGUAUAAAUAUCAUACUUCUUUUCAUGAGCUUGAAAUCUAGAUUUGCGGUUGAAGGGAUAUUAGAGGGAUGCUAGAAUCUCCCCAUAUCUCCACAUUUGUGUCUCAUAACUAUUGUGGUUUCUCAUAUAAGUGGAGAUAGUUUCAUUCACUUAUAUUCAUAAGUACGAUCUUCUCAUUAUCUAGCGAAUGAGGCAAACUUUGGUCGCACUCCCAACAAUCCAAAAAAUUAAGUUAAUCAAAUGAUUUUAAGUUUUGAACAACAUGAUUAGUAAUGCAGAGAUCUCCAACAGAUUAUAGACAUGAUAUUAAGAUAAAGCAUACUAUAAUUACUCCCAAGUGUCUAGUUCUCAAAGCAUGUUCUGAAGGAAUAAACAAAUUGAAUACUGGUUAGAGUUUUUGGUUUUGUUCUCUCACUUUACCUUCUAUCAAAUGCUGCACCAUUGGCUUAAAAUAACCAGCCUCUGCCAUAUAAAGCACAUUCUGGGUGUUCCCUGACAAUACAUUCAACAAUUUUCUUGCAUCAUAGGAAGCAAUUUGAUCGUCCCCUUUGAGAAUGGAAACUAACAUAACAAUACAACCCUGAAUUCUGCCAAGCCGGCGCCGUACGUUAACAAAAUCACAGAGUUCCAAUAACAGUCCCACAACUUCCCUCCUCUCCUCCUCAUCCCCAGCCAAAGACUUGACCAAUGUUGACAAAGGUCCAACAUCUGCCAUCAUUUCCUGCAAAUUAUUGUGUUUCAGUGGAUAAAAAAUAACGGUCUCAAAAAGGGUGCAAUAGUCAGUUUCACUUAUGGUUCUACCUUGCUUGCAGGAUUGUUCCAAACAAGAUACCUAAGUACUUGAAUGAUUAGUGGUCGGUUAACAGAUUUGUUCGAACCCAAACGAUUGAGCAAAAUUGAAACAAUUCCCUCUUCAUUGAGCCAUCCAUCAUCAACAUUUUUAUUCUGUAUCAAGUCUUUCAACCCAGCAACUGCAAGCUUGAAUUCAUCGUCAUUUCCAUACUUGAGAUGCAGUGCAAUGUCACAAGCUUUAACGCUAGUUCGUUCUUCUUCAAUCUCCUCCACUCUCAAAUCACAUAUGAACUCUGUGGUUCGACUUGAAGUUGAAGUUGGACUGCAAUUCUCAUCAAACUUCAUGUUCAUGAGUUCCUUGUGAAGCUCUCCAAUCUUUGUUUUGAAUUGCGUUGAGACCUCAACAGUAGCAAACAAAACAAGGCCCAAGGACCGACCAAGAUCAUGAGCAAUAGAUUCAACAUGUUUCACUUUUUGGUUGUGGACUUUUAUUGAACACUUGGCACGCUUUAUCUCCUUCUCAAGAGAUUCAACUGCUUUUCUGAUUGUUGGGGUGUCCACGAUCUUGUCAUAGUCUCUCAAAUCAUUGAAAAUUGGUGGAAUUUUUUCCAAAACAAGAGCUAAUUCAGUGAACAUCUCGUUCUCUGUUUCUGAAUUCUUGGAUAUGGAAGCUAACUCAUCUGUAGAUGCUAUAAUUUCAGACACAACCUCUGAGAAAGUUCUGUUUUCCAUCUCCUUCAUCUCUAAACCGACAGAUUAUGAACAAACAAUGAACAAGAAAAACAGAAAUAUAUAGAAAUUGUUAAAAGGGUCUGUGAGGAACUCAAAGUAACAUAAUUGAAAAAAUGGGUUGGCAAGUUCUGAGCUGGUGUGAUGAGAUAAUAUAGAGAAAGAAGAAGAAGACAAUUAUAUUAAAGCCUAGAGAAAAACGACGAAGACUCGCUGUUAUAUGACUAACUGUAGACUUAAAGCUCGGAAUUGCAAAAUGUCAUUAUAAACAUUAAACCCAUAUCUCACGUAAUACAUGCUCAGAAAGAUGUAUAUAGGAAUUUGAACGUUUGAGUCCACGGUUUUAUGCUUAAAAACGUUUGUUCGAGUUCAAACCUUGGUAGAAGUGAGAUAUUUGAUCGAUAAAUGAUAUAUGUGUUGAUUAGUUAAACUAUCGGAUUCAAUGUUUAUUUAGAGGAGAGUGAGGAAUGAUUAAGAGUUAAAUAACUAAAUAUUGAAGAGUGGAUAUUUGUUUAAUAAAAAUGAAAAAUAUAUAUGGUUUAUAAUUUGAAUGGUAGAGGAAAAUUUGUGUGUUAGUUUUGGAGUAUUGGGAGGGAGGGAGGAACAAGAAAGGAGUGGCGGAGGGUUGUUCCCAUACGCUGAAUUGCUUUGCAAAUUCUUUGCUUUUAUUAUAAUCUUCUUUUUCCUUUCCUUACACGAUGGAAUGACAACGACCCAUCCUUGACCAAGUCUUUUAUUAUUAUUUUUAAACAAAAAAUAAACAAAAAUAUUUCGUGACCCUAUAAUUAUAUUCUUGUUUUUAGAGAUUUUUUUCUUUUCUUCUUAAAGAAAAUCUUUUUGUUUGAAUUGUAAUCUCCUUUAAAUUAUACAAAUUGUUCAUCACCUUUAUUAUUUGUGUUAAAAAGUGUUCUUUCAAUUUUAAAAAAUUUAAAUGUUAGAUCAGUCAUUUCCUUGUUUUGUCCAUGGAUUAAGGUAAGAGAAAGUAAUACUCUUAAUCUCCUUAUUUUUUUUCUUUCUACGUUUAUAUAAAUCUCAUUUUUUUCGUUUAAUCCUUUCAUUUUUCAAUAUAAUACUUCUCUUUCUUCUCAUUUUUCUCUUUUUCUCUCCAAAUUAAUCAUCUUAUUUCUUUUUUUUUCCAAACAAAUUAAUUCAUCUCUCUUCGUUCUUAUUUCUUUUCUUUUUCAAACAAAUUAAUCCACCUCUCUUCUUCUCAUUUUCUUUGUGCCAAACAAAUUAGUCCUCUUUUUUAGUAUGUUGCUUAUCGUUCUCAUAAAGAAAAAAAAUUAAUAAACGAAGGAAAAAAAUAAAAACAACAUAAUACAAUUUAGUUAUUGUAUAGGAUUGAUGAUACAAACUUAAAAUACAAUAUUUUUUUGUAUUCUAUUUACGGUAUAAUUUGAAGAAACAUAUUUUACAUAAAUAAAAAACAAUCAUACAAUUUGUUUGUAUUGUGUAUUGUGUGUAUGGUCCAAUUUUCUUUUUUAUAUAUAAAAUCAAUUUAAAAUUAAUACAUAUUUGUUGUGUGUUGGGGUUACAGUAAAAAUGAAGUAUAAACAUUAUUUUAAUACAAUUUUUCGUCGUUUUGGAAAACAGUACGAACAAAAUAAAUAAGUUUAGACAAACGCAAAAAAAUAAAGUUAAUAUAAUUUUUGUUUGUAUUUGGUUUACAUAAAACAUUCCAUAAGUAUUUCUUACCCAUUAAAAAAAAGCAUAUUUUUUUUAAUGUAUUGGAUUUAUGGAUCAAAUUGAACUACAAAUUGAAGACAAAUCAAAAAUUAAAGAACACAAUUUCUGUGUGAAUUGAAUUUACGGUAUAAAUUUCAUAAACAUAUUUUACACAGCAAAAAAAAAAAAAAAAAUCAAUACACUUUAUUUUGUGUACUUGAUUUAAUGUUAAAAAAUAAAGAAAAACUACGGUACAAAUGAGAAAAAACUUUACUUUUGAAAGUAUAUUAGGUGUAUGUUACAAUUAAAAAAUAUAUUUAUACAAAAUCAACAAAAAGAAAUCAAUACAAUUUUUUUGUGAAUGCUUGGAUUACGGUACAACCUAACUAAAAAAAUGAAUUUGAAUACAAUUUUUGGUUGUAGAAAUUUUAUGGUACCAACAAUUUACACAAAUGAAAAAAAUAUUAGCACAUUUUUCAUUUUGUAUUGGGUUCGGGACAAACAAAGAACAAAAUUUCAUUUUCAAAAAAAAAAUUAUUAUGUAUUUUUUUUUCAUAUUGGGUUAACGAACAAAUAAAAAAAAUUACACAAAUAAAAAAAAUACAAAUUUUUUUGUUAUAAUCCUUCCCACAUAAUCCUUCUCCCCAAAUAAUCCUUCUCCUAAAUAAAGAUUAUAAUAGUCCCUCAUAAUCAUUUCACUUAAUCCUUCCCCUAAACAAGGAUUAUAAUAAUCAUUUCCUCCAUUUAAUCCCCUUUUUCUUAUUCCUUUUUUUCUUUAAUCCUUUUCUUCUCGGAAACGGUCCUUAAACUUUUCAAAGGAGUUUUUAAAAAAUACUUUAGGUUUGAAUGAAAACAUUAAAGUUUGUUUAAAAAAUAUUUCUAAACUUUCAAAAAUUGCGAAAAUAUACUUAACUUAAUAAAAAUUAAAAAAUACUUCCACAGUUAGUAAUAUGAAUAAAAAAAUUUAAUUCCUCACCACAAAAAUAACUUUAAACUUUUUAAAAGUAAAAAAAUUCUCCUAAUAAUUAAUAUGACAUCAAUUUGUUUGAAGUUUUUUUAAGGAAAAUUUUCAUAAAUAUAGCAAAACACCAAAAUAUUUACGACUCGUGUAACAAAAUCAAAAAGUUCAUGAAGCCGGCUAUUUUUUUUAAAAAAAUAUUCCAGCUUUGCAUUCAUUUCCAUUUUCUUUGUUCUGCACUUUUCUUUUUCUUUCCAUCGUCAUUUUCUCUUCUUCUUCUAAAAAUUUUCUUUUAUCUUUUAAGUUGUUACUUAGUUGUUUAAGAUCGUGUAUAAAAUAUAAAAUAUCUUGAAAAAAUCGUUGAGAUAUUGGUACACAAUCAUUGCUUAGAUUUGAGAAGACAAAUAUAAACGAUUGUGUACAAAAAAUAGUUAAGUCUAAAUGAUCGUCACUACAAGAAUUCAAGAGUCUCCAUAUGCAAGAAGGUGUCAGUAUAUAUAACAAACAACUUUGGGAAAGGCUCUCCCGAAAUACAUUGUGUCGUCAGAAAGAACGUCGAUAGUAGUGCGUCAAGGAAGUCAUUCCCAACUCGACAGCGAGAAGGUGUCAGGAAUGCAUUUCUCCCAACACGUGCAAUGCUGACGGAAGUAGCAUGUUGGCAACUGGGGACUUCCAACGUCCCAUCCCUAUGUCGGCAAUUUGCAACUUCUAGCAUCCUCUUCUGAUGCCGGUAAUACUGGACUUUCAGAGUCGGGGUAGGGAUCUCAGUCCCAACGACACACAAAAAGUGUAGGGAGAUAUUUUAUUAUAUAAUUUUUAAAUUAUUAUAUUUAAUUUUUUCAUAACGUACUCUUUUGGGUUUUGAUUCGAUUUAUAUUCAAUCAAAUUUUGAAUAACAACUAAUGCAAAAUAAAUAAAAAAUUAUUAAAAUACCAAAUCAAAUUUAUAUUAGAAAUAAAAUCUAAAUAUUCAAUAAUUACAAAUUCUAGGUUCAAAAAUUAGAUAAAAAAGAAAAAAAUGCAUUAUUUUCUAAUUACCAGGGACACUAUAUUCCCAAUGGCUCCCUAUCUACAAUGACAUGAAAGUAAAUUUAGAUAUAUAUUAUUGAAAAAAAUUAAAUAAAUUAAAAGUUGAAAAAUACGUUAUGCAAGUGUUCAAGGUUCUUUCUAUGUCCGACUCAUUUUCUUAAUCAUCUUAUUCAUUUCUUCCAUUUGUCUGGCAUGCAACUUUGAUGUUCUUCAUUGUUCUUCAAUUAAUCAUUGAAUGCUUUCAUAUCUCUUAGACGCUAAUCUCUCCAGAGUGCAUUUCUUGCUCAUAUCAAGAUGAAGAACUCCUAUCAACCUUUUGGGACUUGAGCUUGGAGCCCCAAGCAAGACCUUUCGAGUAGCCCGAUCGUUUAUCCAAAAUGGUCUUGCAUAUCUCGUCUCCAGAGGGGGGUUGGAGAACCUUCUAGGGUAAGUUGGGAUUGAAGUUCCAACAUUUGAUUCUGCACCAAACGAAUUGACAAUUAAAAGUAGAAAAUACAAAAAAAGCAUUUCAUAAACCUAAAUGAGCAUCAGCGCGACCGCUUAUAAAGCAAACUGGCCACUCAAAUUCAAUAUAACCCCUCACAAAUUUUCAAAUUCAAAUUCAAUCUUAAAUCCUAAAAAGACCUCAAAUUCAAAUUCAAUAUUAAAACCUAAAACUAAUUCAAAAUAUAAAUAUAAAACUAAAACAAAACAAUAAGUAACGAAGCCAUUUAUUGGAAUGAAGAGUGGUGGCGGUAGACGAUGACGAACGGUGGGACGGCGUCAGCAGUGAAGUUCUCUCCUUUUUGGUCUCUCAUUUGCAAUUCUCUCUAGCUUUCUCUUCUCUUUCGGUUCUGUGAAUUACAGAACUGAAAGAGUAUUUUUAUGUGGGAACUCUCGACACAUCAGAAAAACGUUGAGUGAACCCCUAUAUUUCUGACGUUGUUAGUAAAACGCUGAGAAAAUAUACACUUAUUCUCGAUGUAUUACUAAUGGAGUCAGACAUAAUUACCCAUAUUUUCGACACCAUGCAAUUGAAGUCGAGGGAAAUGAAAAUUAUUAUUUAAUUGUUUCAUUUCCUUCGAUGUUGUGGAUGACCAAGUCGAAAAUGUGUGACUCAUGCCCGAUGUAUGUAUGCAUGGCGUCAGGAAAAGGGAAAUAAUUAAAUAAUAAUUUUCUUUCCUCCAACACCGUAAAUGUCUGCAUCGAGAAUGGAUAUUGACCCAUUCUUGACAUAUGUUUGCCUGGCGUUGGGGAAAAGGAAAUUAUUAUUUAAUUAUUCCUUUUUCUCCACGUUUUGAUGUCUAACGUCGAGGAUGGGUGGGCUUUGCCCGACGUUAGAAGACAAAUGUGAGAAAAGAUUCACUCGGCCAGCGCCUCCAUUACGACGUUGAUGUAAGUCAUGUUUCCCAGCUUCCCUUACCCCGAUGGUAUUUUGUGUGUCGGGAGAACCCCAAUUUCUUGUAGUGUAUACAAACUAAUUUUAAAAAACAAUCGUUUAGCUUUGGGUAGCCAAAUCUAAACGAUCAUCUACCAAUUCUAAACGAUCGUGUACCAAACAUUCAUAAGGUACAUUCUUUUAUUUGAAAAGGUCAUAAAUUACAACGUUACUGUGAUAAACAACAUGCAUCAUUUAGAAAGAUAAUACAUGAAAUCAUUCACAGACAAUUAAUCAUUUAUAAGGAUCACCGCUACAAUACUUAGCCUCAAUUCUUUCUCCCUUGGCUUUCGACAUCCUUUUCUUGCCUAGUGGUUUCCCUCAGUCGACUUUUCAAUUCUUCGAAAUCUCCUCUCAACAACUCAGUAAAAGGCAUUUUCCGCCCUUUUCUUUUGACAUUUGGUUCUAUUUAUAGCGACCUUUCACAUCCAGAGGUUACUUUUCCGCUUUACAAGUGUCAUCUUAUAGUUUCCCCAUCCUAUGUAACCAACUCCAACUCGACAUGUAAGCCAAACAUCAGUUAUGAAUAGACACUUACCUUGAGAGACUAACCUAAUCUCUUUGUAAAGCUAAACUCCUUUACAUCGUUUGACUCUCUUCUCGAGAAGCAACAAGCAUUUACUUUCUCCUAGAGGACUGUGUAGUCACCUCAACUAAACACCUACCUCACUGCCACACUCUUAGACAUUGGUACUUCUCUCAGAUUGCUAUCCCCAAUCACCUAGUCCUUAACGUUAAACAACAUUAUUCUUCACCAAUAUCCUCAACACGUUACCUACUUCCACGCAAUGGCUCCUAAACUCAAAUACUUCUCUUUGCAUCACCCAUUCUCCAAUCACAUCCUUCUUCACAAAAUUCCUCUUUCUAUACUUUGUCAAAAUAACCUAUCUCAGUGGAGUUUCUCUUCAACUGGACUCCCUUUUUUUUAUCAUAGCCUCACACUCAUAAUCUAAUGAUCCCAAAGAAACACCCAAAGACUAACAGACUAAUGGUCUAGUCAAACGUACAUGGUCAUAGAGCUGUAUAAGGUGAUGAUCUUGAGAGACAUUGUACAUGUGAGAUACACAACCUAAUAGCCAAAGUUAAUAGACACCACAUUCCAAAAUGAAACAAUCAUCAUAAACAUGACAGAAAACAUCAAUUAUACCAGUCCAUAAUCUCAUAGAACAUGCAUGAUCACCAUCAUCAACCAUAAACUACAAUAUCUCAUUAUGUAUUUUUAGCUACUAUCAAUGAAAAAUCAGUAAAUACAUGCAUGCUCUUAAAUUUAGAUUCAAAGAUCUAGUAGAUGAACCUGAUAGAUUAGCUAAAAAAAAAUAUUCCAGGGCUGUUAGUCAAAAUUUUCCAAUUAAACAUAUUCUAAAUAGUAAGAAAAUUUUAAUAACUUAAUUAAUAAUGACUAACAUAAAACAAAAAAAAAUUCUUCCUAAUUAACUUACCAAGAAUUAGGGAUGAAACCAAUUCAACCUUGAUAGUAAAAUUUCCUCAGAUUCCAAAAUUAGUUAAUUAAACCUUAAAUGAAAAACUUCAAAUUAGAAUCCAAAUUAAAUUAUUUUAAAGCAAAAAACUGUCAUUUGAUGGGUAUAUCCAGAACCCACAAAAAAACACGUCCAAAACGUAUCAAAAGUAGCUAAAAAAAAAAAAUUACUAAAAUAAGUUAGGAUUGGAAGGAAGAAGAUAGGUGUAAGACCUUGAUCCCGUAUAACUAACACGACAAUGACUCUCGAAGAGGGAGUACAUGUACACGACCUGACCCCAAAGAAGGAAGUUCGAUUGAGGAAAAUCAUUGUAGAGAAACCACUCAGGCAAGAGUGUUGUCUGCGAAGAAAAGCGCAAAAUAAGAAAAAAGGUGGCACGAAGAUAAAUACUUGUAUAAGUGAGUAUAGUGUGCGAAGAAGAGCGUAAAAGAAAGAAAAAGGUGGCAUGAAGAGAAAUACUUGUAUAAGUUAUAUUGUGCAAAUGCAAACAACGCGAUAAAGACAAGUAGCGAGAAUGAGCCUAUAUUGGAUGUCGAAAGUUAGGUGUUUGACAUCGUGGUGCAAGAAGAAGCGCUUAUGUCUAUGAAGCUUUAGUAUUUUGUUGACAAGACUAGACGACUUUAACAAGAGAAAUAAAGGCUUGCAGCUUCUCGAGGAGAUAAAAAGAGUCAAGCGAUUUAAUGAAGUUUGGCUUUUCAAGGAGAUAAGGUGUGCAUCUCAAUAGAAAGUCAAAUCAUCGUUAAUAGUUAGACCAUGUGUUGAGUGUGGGUUGGCUACAUGAUGCGGCAAAAAGGCGAGGAGACGCGUGUAAAGUGUGGAAGUGACCCUUUGACGAGAAGACCACUAUAAAUAGAGCUAAAAAUCAAGGAAAGAGGGGCCAGAGGAGGAGAAAGGAAGGGAAUGAUAAUUUCAGAGGAAAAAAAGAAGAGGAAAUAAGUAUGGAAUGACAAAAUAAGAGAACUGCUAGGGAGAAUGAAUGUCCCAAAAUGGAGAAGUUAGGGCUUGAGAUUGAGUGUAUCUAUGUUGUUAGGGGUAGAGGCCAUGUAAAGUAUUGUUCUAAGGCUACAUAGUCAAGCUAAGGAAGGAAGACAGAGUGUCUCCAUAGUCUUACAUGGCGCAUUGGCCAUGGAAAUUUCUAUUACACUUGAAGAGCCAAUUGGUAAGCGCAUCGCUCCUCUGCAUGCAUGACUCAGCUCAGAAGGGAAGCAAGUGCAAUACCUAGGCAAACAUAGCUAAGCUUGGAAAGUUAGAGAGCCAGAGCACUGAAUCAAGGAUUGGGUAACUCCAUGCAUGUUAGAAAGAAGCCAUAAACACUAUCUUUAGAGUGGAUCGUUGAAUAUUUGAAAAAGUGGAGUUUUCAAGCCUCGAAGUACCUAGUCUCAAGAAGCAGCGUCUGGCGAGGUGGAGAGGAAUAAUAUGCAUUACUAUACGAUGAGGUGAGUAGGUUAGAUGUUGAGGUUAGAGAUUAGGUCAGAUGUUGAGGUUAGAGAUUAGCGAUGUUCUCAUUGUUAAAAUUGAAUGGUAAGAUUAUUCGCAUAAAAAUUUUACAAAAGAGAUUUGAGGUAAAGCUUGCUCACCUAGUAAACUAGAGAAAUAUUUUUCAAGUAAUGUUCAUUAACAAGUUAAACGCCUGAAUAACAAAUAAAACUUUAUUUUGCAUAAUUUAUUUCAUUGAAGUGUUAUUGAAUCACAAAGAAAAAUUAGAAUACUACAAAGUGGGGAGCCAAGCUUGCGACAAGAGAGACUAAAUGCGAAAGAAUUGUAUCUUAAGUUGUGACUUGUAUUGUAAUGGUCAUAAGUAAAAAGAAACUAAAAUUACACAAGACAUUGUUAAAAUACGGCACAAUUGAUGACACUUAGCAUAUCCUUUUAUGAUUACGGCAGUAAAGGAGGUUUCUGUAAGGAUGGUUAUGAUAGAGUUAUCCUUAGUUUUGCUACUGGGUCACAACGCCUCACUGGACUUGCUAAGGUUGGGAGUAGGCGAAUAGGCUUUUCUUGAAAGAGUUGCGGAUGGGGAGUGUUGGCGAUUUGGACUUGUGAGGGGUUUGAGUGAUUUGUCCUUGGAGGCUAUAACUUGUAGCGUAGAGGUCAAGGUGGUGGGCAUGUGACGAGAUGUCAUUGAAUUCCUCGACUUUAAAGAAUUGUCCUCUCUUUGAUUCUAAGGCUUCCUCCUCUUUUUGUCUUUACUUCAUCACAUCCCUUUUUUCAACCCCUUUAUAUUCUUAGCUGGUGUUAGGGUAUUUUGAUUUAUCCUUUGUUGUAUCGAUAGUGAUGAGGUCCCUUUUUCCUUCUCUUAUGUACCUCUACUAGUGGUUGCAAGAGAUUUUUAAUUGUAUUUGUCUUCUUCUCUUCUUACAUUUGAACACUUUCUCCUCCGACAGGUAGCUUCUUUCAACCCCUUUCUCAAACCCCUCGGGGAUUUCUUCCUCCACCCCCAAUUUUCUUCCACCUCUUUUUUUGAAGCCAAAAUUUCUUUUGUUGACCUUUCUUGGGUCCCUAUUUCUAAACUUUUAAAAUCAGCAUCAGGCAAGCAAGUGUCCUUCAUUGGAAGUUUAAGAUCCCCUUCCCUCACACGGCUGAUUUGCCUCUUCUCCUAUUUUUCUUAUUACCUUUUCUUUUAUUCAUAUUUAUCUUUUCACUUUCUUUUGCUUCUUCCUUUACAUUUUCUUUUAUUCCCAUAUUUUCUCCAUCAGUUCUUCUUAACCUAUCUUGCCGUCCUUCAUCUUUUGUGAGUUUAUCGCAUAAUGAGGCGAGAAGGUGUGUCACUUGGUAUUUAGGACAUGGUAGUCUUAUGAGAGGUUUUAUAAGGAUUUCUCAGUGAAUGAUAAAAAGGAAUAUCUUGAUGAACUAGGAGAAGAAUUUUUGGAAUGGUAGUGAUUUGAAGGAUUAAGCAAUUUAUGGUUUCGUGACAUGUUGUGUUUGGCUAAAUGUCGAGGUUUAUGAUUUUGGUAGCUAGGUUUAAAUAGGCUCUCUUAGCUAGAAUUAAAGGUUUGGUUACCAUACUUUUAAGGUCAUAUCGACUUAAAUAUGACGUGAUAACCUGACAGACAACUCAUGGCUCGAGGUACGACACACUCAUUUUUCGUCUUGAAAGUCUAAGAUCUUUAACGAGUGAUAAGACAUUCCCCAUUUCCUAAAAAACUUCCCAAUAAAGCUUAUUAUCGGAUUUAAUAUACGAGAAGGUCAGAAUACCUAAUGUGGUUGACUCAAUCCUUCCUGUAAACUGACUUCAUCUUAAUUGUCUUAUCCCACCAGUUUAUAGCUUCAUGGUUUACCGUGCAGUCCGAGAUAUACAAAAUUCAAAUACAAAAAUGUCUCGGUUUGACAUAAUAUAUUGCAAAGGAAUAUCUCAGUUUAGUUUGAAAAUGUGUGUUCUUACAAUUUUAGGCUUUUCUAUUCCAAUCCUUCUUUUAAAUUGGGCUGAAUGUCUUACAAAACUUCAAACCUUUGGACCAUGGACUUUAUUUUUUUUGACAAUAUUGCAAUUAACAUGUGAAUAAGCACAGUAUAAACUAAAAUUUUGGUAAAUUAUAUUAUGCCAUGAUUCCAUUUGGAAUGUGGUAUAGGAUCUGCAAUUCAUCCCGGAAUGACAGAGACGAAUAAGACUUAGUUUAUUUACUUUUUUUUUUUCUUUUUAAGACUUGAUUUAUAGUCAAUAACGUGUGAACUAAAACUAUUCUUCUUUUUUUUUUUCUUUUCCAUUAUUAUUAUUAUCAUUAUAAAUUAUUAUAAAUUCAAACGUCAUCUCCAAUUAAAAAUAAUCCAAACACGACUCUUAAAUUUUUUUAAGUUGGUUUCAAAUAUUAACAUAUUAAAGAUUUUUCUAAAAAAUAAAAUAAUAUAUUGAAGAUUUGUAUGGGCAUCCCCAUGAAUGUGUGUAUAUGAAUAGAGAGUGACUAUUUUUUUUUCAAUAAAAAAUCUAUUUUUGGAUAAAUAUUUGAUAUUAUAAGUUGAAUUAAUUUAUUUUCUUGAAUUAUGUAUAAAUUUUUAAAUGUUAAAAUAUUAGAGAAAGAGUUUAAAUAAAAAUCAACUUUCAUGAACUAGAACACUUCUUUUUUCAAAUGAAUCUAAAUCACUGCUUUUUAUUCUUCUUAAAAAUAUAUAUUUGAUUAGAUUGAUUUUAAUGAACAUAUAUUGUGAAUAUGUUUAAGAGCACACAAAUGGCAAGACUAUAAUUUGUUCUCGAAUUGUCCUUGAUGUUUAAUGAGAAGUUUGACGUUGAAGUCAAGACAACCUUUAUAGCUACCAUAUAAUUAAAAGGUCAAAUAUAUAUUUAUAUAAAGUGAGUAUUUAUUAUAAGCUACAAUUUAGUAGUCUCCAUCACAAGCUAUACAUAAUUUCUAACUUUGAAAUUCAUUUAUACAUCGUUAAAAAAUUAUAUAACGAGAAUAUAUCAUACCAGGGGCGGAUUUUUUAAGAGAUCAAGAGACACAUGUCUCCCUCACAUUAUCGAUUUUUGUAUUUUAAUAUUAAUUUUAAAGUGUUUAUAUUACAAUAUAUAUAUUAAAUUUAAAUUUUAUUUAGUUAAAUUCUACUUCUGUUGUCGUGGUUGUGUCACUGCAAAACCCUUUAUUCAAAACAUCGAUAAUUUUUUUUUCUCAAAUAUCAAUGAUUUUCUUUUAUAUCAAAUUUCUUUCCAAAUUUCAAUGAUUUCCUUUUAUAUUAAUUUUCUUCCUAAAUUUUAAUGAUUUUCUAAAAGAAAGAUAAUUUGAUUUCCUAAAAGAAAGAUAAUUUAAUUUCAUAAAGGUAAUUUAAUUUCAUAAGAGGAAGAUAAAGAGAGAGAAAAAUUCAUUUAAGAUAAAAAUCUAACUUAUUUUCUAGUCCUCAUUUGUUAUCUAACAAAAUUUUUUAAAAAAAUGCAACACAGUUGGUGAUCUAAACUUCCACUCUCUUAACAAUAUUUCAUGAAAAUUGUAUUUAUUUUUCUUUUUUCUUUUCUUUUUUUGAUGCAAAUUUUAAAUUCACAUGUUUACAUAACAAAAAACCAUAUGAAAAUUGUUGGUCUUUCUUUAUUGUUACAAAUGUAGUGAAUGUUAUUGGAGCAUCAGUAAAACGUCAAUAUAUUUUUUUAAAUAUUUUUAAUGUGUUUAUUAUAUAGUGUCUAGUGCUCCUAUAUAAAAUUUCUGGAUCCGCCAUUGGUCACACCCCCAUACUACCUUCUCUUAUAUAUACAAGAGAUAGUGUGAAGCCAACAAAUAUCGUUCUCCUACGUUUAAUUAGCUACUGAAUAUCGUCCUCCUCUCAACGAUACUUCAUAAUCUUGUACUUAACUAACUACUACACUACAACAAAACUGACAUUGUAUGACAUUUUAAUACAAUCCAAAGCUAAAAGGAAGGAAGAAAAAAUUGUCACGAACCAAACAAAAGCAGUUGAAUUUUGAAGUUACCGUUAUACAAUUAUUUGUGCAUGGUUGCCUAGUGACACCUUCUACUUGUCGGAAUUUAAUACUUGUAGACUCAAUGGCUUAUGGCCGCAUGACGCACUCAUGCCCCCAUGCCAUCUAACCUCAACAACUAGGGGUUCUUUGUUGUCGCAUAAAGGUUUUUGGCACUUCUUCCACCUGUUUUUGGCUCAUCCACAUGCCUUGCCACCUAGCAUGCUUGACCGUCUAGCACCACACCUUAAUUUGGAGGUUCACAUAGCUCUUACUUAGCCGCAUACUGCAACAUGCUAGCCAAGCAAUGUAUUGUCAAAGGAUUUACAACUUUUUUUUCUAUACAAUUUACCAAAUCAAAGCGUAAGAAAAUUUAGGGUUUACAAAGAAAUACCAAAUGAAAACGUAUGACUGAAUUAAAUAUAUUUACUUUUUAUAAAUAGUAUAAUUUGUUUUAUAGUGAAACUCUAUAUUUUACCAUCUGAAGCCUAAGACUUACAAAAGUUGGAAGUCAAUAUCCUUAAACUUGCAUCAAACGUUAACGUAUUCUAAUAUUUAUUUGUAUAUUCAUUUCUUUAUAUUUAGACAUAUUCAUGUUCUAUUAAAUAUUAAAUCUUUUAGUUGAAGAGUACGUUUCACUACAAGAAAUAGGGGUUCUCUCGACGAGGUAAAGUGUCUACAUAUAUGCCAAAGGGCAUCAAAAAAGGAUCUUUCGGCGUAUAUAGGAUCGUCAAGAAGGAAGUCAAAAGUAUUACAUCGGGGGAGUAAUUCCCGACGCACAAACAUAAAGACGUCGGUCAUUGAGAGUUCCUUUCUCUUGACGUCAGGCAUCUCGAUGGAUGGAGCACGUUGGUGAAAGGUAACGCUCGACAUGCCUAUCUCAGAGUUAGUAGAAAGGAACUUCCGACGUGGCAUCGGAAAUGGCUUCCCUAACGUUGUGCUUAAAAUGUGAGGAGAAGGGUUCUCAUUCCCAAUGCUUUUAUGCGUUAUGAGAUAAUUUUAAUUUUUGUUUCCAAAUAUUAUGUGAUAAAAGGUACAUUCCUAUUCAUAUGUUGCUAAUUUCUAAAGAUAUGCAUGUCGUGCAAGUUUUUCUCUCUAUCGUCCAACUGCAAGCGAAGAGAAGUUUCUUGGUAAGUCCAGGGUUGAACACAGAGAAUCUAAAGUUCCUAAUUGUCUCAUCAUGCAACUAAAUCAUGCGGUAUAAGCUAUACAAUAAUGUUAUGCACAAUAUACUUCUAUCCUAAUUAUUUACAAUAAGGUGCUUGUCGAUGCAAGGUGAGCAUGGCGAGAAAAUAGAAGUGGAAAAAGAACACAUUUUUAGGCAUGACGAGGAAGGUAGUCUAAUUAUCUAAUAGCAAUGAUUUGUGGUUCAAUAAUUCAAGGCGAUACAAAGCAUAUAUUAACUUCGAAUUAGGACGAGCGACGACAAGAUUAAGUUGGACAACCUCUCGCUGCUUUCGCCACACACAUUAGCAUAUCUAUAAUGUAUGCAAAGGACAAAAUUGGCGACAAGAUUGUAUCGCUACAAUCUUCUCGUCACUUGGUUAGCUAAAUGUGUGUUUUCACUUGUCAGGUUCUUACAUCAAUGUCAUUGUUCUUCUCUCGAAUUUACAAUGCUUUGAUAUUCACGUUUAACUCAACAACACCCAUAACGCAAACACUAUGAUUCUCUAGUUAUAAAAAACACACAUCUUUGCUCAUAAGCUAACCAAACAUAUUGAACAUGAAAAGUAAAAGAAAGAUAGGAGAAUGAAAGAAGAAAUGCAUUGCUUUCAUAAAUAUAACUUUAGGCCUUUCGGCUAUGAUGUAUAUUUUACAAAAACAAUACAAGAGAAAUAUAAAAUGGAAUACAAUUGAAGGUAUUACUUAGUUAAAAAGGAAAAAAGUAAAAGUAAAAAGGAAAAUGAAUUAAUUAGGGGUGUUAAAAAAAUCGGUAACCCAACUAACUCAGAUUAUCCAACACAAACGGUAAAGGUUGGGUUGAGUUAUAACUUAGAAAAUUGGAGAAAAAAUUGAGUCAGGUAGUCGAAUUGUGCAAGUAAGGGAUCGGGUUGAUUCGACCCAACUCGAUUUUGUAUAUAAUAUAUAUAAACCUAAAACCUAAAAGUAAGUUUCCUUUUGAAUGGAUAAUGUAGACUUAAAGUUUGAAUGUAUAACAUAUGUCACCUUCAUCUUAAAUGACAUUUUGUUCACCUUGCAUAUUGAAAAACAAUAUGAGACUUUGUUUAAAUUAUGGAAAGAUGUGAAAAAAAUCAACUUGCCAACUAAACCUGACCUAACUCGGAUUUUUUGGUUUAGGUUAGGUUGGGUGAAUCAUUGCAUAUUGAACCAAUAAGGUUCAUUUUUUGUCAACCCGAAUACUUUGUGUUGGUCAUUAAUUUUUCUCCAACCUCACCUAAUCUGACUUAUGUACACCCCUAGAAUUUCUAAUAAUAAUAAAAUUUAUUAUUAUUAUUGUUGGUGUUAUUAUUAUUUAUUUAUAGGUGUCUUGAUCACCGUACUAAUCAAUUUUCUCAUCGUCCUUAACAAAGAAUCCUAGCCGCUGAAAGCUUUCUUCUUUGUUGACCGUCCACUGCGCCGUUUGCCAUAUCAAGCGAAUGUAUGCUAACUCCUUCUCUCCAAGUCAAAGCCUAUGCGUUGCGUGUGUUUCCUCUUCGGGAGUUACCCAGUCAAGAUGAAAGUUGACCUCUUCGUUCCUAGCUUAGCCAAGUUGCACGCCAAUUUCUGUCUUGCCCUCCGUCUAAGGAGACCUUUCCGUCUCUAAGUUGAGAGUCGUGUGCCACCUUUUGUCCAAGCCAUUUUCCCUUUCCCAACCGAGUCAUGUUGCCACACUCCACUUCAAAGUUACUUCCAGUGACUAAGUGGAGGCAUUCUGCCUAGACCUUUAUUGUGUUCUUCCUGCAAGGUAACAAAUUAAACACCUAGUAAGUGGAACAUCCUACUUAACUUGCCCUUUCGCGAAGUCUUUGCCUUGGACUUAAACUUUCUUAACUCAGCGAAAAAGUUACAAAUUAAGACUUUGCUCCAUCGCCUAGUACUAUUUACAUAAUACAAACCAAUUUUAGCUUUUAAGCGAUAAACUCAAAUAGUAAUAACAAUGUGGCCGAAUAACAUAAGUACUUCUUCUCUUUAUUAACUUAACACUUUUUACAAUUUUGGGCAUUACAAUUGCAACUCUUGAACUCUCUUGACACUCUUGAACUCUCUUGACACUGAUACUUGACUACCACUUACCUAGUACCUAUGUCCUUCCUCACCUACCGUCUGGUAUUACUUCUUGAGAUGGUUACUUAAAUGUGUGAGGCAUGCUUUCCUUUGGCUCAACUCUUCGAUUCUUUUGGUCUCUAAGGGGCCGUUUGGGGGAAGGAAAGGAAUAAGGAGGAAAAUGAAUAAGAAAAAAGGAGGAUUAAGUGGAGGAAAGGAUUAUUAUAAUCUUUGUUUGGGGGAAGAAUUAAGUGAAAGGAAUAUGGACGAUUAUUUAUAAUCUUUGUUUGGGGGAAUGAUUAAGUGAAAGGAUUAUGAGAAAUUAUUAUAAUUCUUGUUUGGGAGAAGAAUUAUUUGGGGGAAGGAUUAUGACAAAAAAAAUUGUAUUUUUUUUCAUUUAUGUAAUUCUUUUUUUAUUUGUACGUUAACCCCAUAUGAGAAAAGAUACAUUUUUUUUUUCUGGAAAUGAAAUUAUUGCUCUUUUUUUUUUCGCGAAGCUAAUACAAAAUGAAAAAUGUGACAAUAUUUUUUGCAUUUGUGUAAAUUGUUCGUACCACAAAACCUUUGCAACCAAAAGUUGUAUUCAAAUUCAUUUUUUAGUUAGGUUGUACCAUAAUCCAACCAUUCACAAAAAAUUUGUAUUGAUUUUCUUUCGUUGAUUUUGUAUAAAUAUUUUUUUUACUUGUAACUUACACCUAAUAUAUUUUCAAAAGUAGAGUAUUUUUUUAAUAAUUUGUAUAGCAGUUUUUUCUUUCUUUUUUAACAUUAAAUCAAGUGCACAAAAUAAAGUGUAUUAAUUUUUUUUUUGUGUAAAAUAUGUUUAUGAAAUUUAUACGGUAAAUUCAAUUCACACCUAAAUUGUAUUAUUUAAUUUUUCAUUGGUGGUCAAUUUGUAGUUCAAUUUGAUAUGUAAAUCCAAUACAUUAAAAAAAUAUGUUAUUUUUUUUAAUUUAUGGCAAAUAUUUGUUUUUCUACUGCAGCCCCAUAUGAAAUAAAUUGAAUCACAUUUUUCUUUCAAUGUGUAAGAAAUGCUUAUGGAAUGUUUUCUAUAAACCAAAUACAAACAAAAAUUGUAUUAUUUUUUUUUUUGCGUUUGUCUAAACUUAUUUAUUUUGUUCGUACUGUUUUCUAAAACGACGAAAAAUUGUAUUAAAAUAAUGUUUAUAUUGUAACCCCAACACACAAAAAAUAUGCAUGAAUUUUUAAAUUUAUUUUGUAUAAAAAAAUUUGGAUCGUACACACAAUACAUAAUACAAACAAAUUGUAUUUUUUUUCCAUUUAUGUAAAAUAUGUUUAUUAAAUGGGAUAGUUGCAAAUUUAGCAAUUAAAUUGAAAAUAAUUAAGUAUAUAGCAACAUUUUAAAAAAUUUGCAAAUAUAGCAAAAUUUGUCAAAUUCUAUCAAUGAUAUAAGUCUAUCACCGAUAGACCAUGUUGUAAAUAUUGGUCUAUCACUGAUAGACUAUAAUGAGUCUAUCAGCGAUACAAGUCUAUCAACGAUAGUUUUGCUAUAUUUGUAAAAAAAUUUAAAUGUUGCUAUAUCCUUAAUUAUUAUUAUUCAAAUAGCUAUCCAUUACAAUUACCCUGAUUAAAUUGUAAUGUAAAUAGAAUACAAAAAUAAAUUUUGUAUUUUAAAUUUGAAUCAUCAUCCUGUACAAUAAAAAAUUGUAUUAUGUUGUUUUUUAUUUUUUCUUUCAUUUUUAAUAUUUUUAUUUUGUUUUUAAUAUUUUUUCUUCAUGAGAACGAUAAACAACAUACGAGAAGAUGACUAAUUUGUUUGGCACAAAAAGAAUGAAGAAGAAGAGAUGUGAAUUAAUUUGUUAGUUUGUUUGGGAAAGAGAAGAAAUAAAAGGAUUAAUUUGGAGAGAAGAAUAAAUAAAGGAGGAAAGAGAAGAAGGAGAAGAAAGAGAAGAAGAGAAAGAUUAUAUUGGAAAAUGGAAUGAUUAUAUUGAAAAAUAAAAUGAUUAAGUGGGGAAAGUGGGGUAAUAAAUAAGGAAAGAGAAAGAAUAAGGAGGAUUAAGGGUAUUCUUUCCCCCCCUAAUCCAUGGGCCAAACAAGGAAAGGACUAUCCUUUCUUUUCCUUCCUCCAAAUGGCCCCUAAGAUCAUAUUUGACUUCUUAUCAUCCUAUUCUUCCUUGCUUUUCCCAACUAAUGUUGCUCUCUAUAAGGGGGUACCUAGAGGUAUAAGCGUAGCAUCUCCUCCUUUGUCUAGGUUGCUUAACUACCCUUCUUAACACAUGAUAACGUGUAUAAAUACCCAUUAUUAUAGUCCAUUUUAUUGAAAUAAUGAGGCAAAAACACAUAAUAAGAGGAUCAAAAUGCGUAACUUAUAUUGUAAAUUCAUAAGUAUUUAGAAAUACAUAUUACAUAAGCACCAUGCUUGUUUUACACGAUUACAAUGUUUAAAUGCAUAAUAAGUAGGAAGGAAGAAGCUAGUGAAUCACAAAAGACAUCUUGCACAAAGGCCACGCGAUAGGAACUUGCCUAGCAAAUAACAUUUCCAGGCGAGGAGCCAUAUCAUCAUGUAAGGAGGGCUUACUAGAAGAGAAGAAUGGUAGUUGGAGUUUAUGUGACUUCACAAGGCUACAAUUGACGCUUACACGCUCAGAAGAACAAAAUUGCUCGUCAAAAGUUGCCUAUAAAAGGACUUCACCACCACCACAAGGAGGAAGUCUAAAUGGACCCAAAAGAGGCCUGCAUAGGACCGGUAGAUGCCUGUAGGGGAUAAAAGGCCUAAGAAGGCCAAUCCCUAGAAAGAGAGUGUGUGAUAGAAAGGAAUAGUCUUUCCGUCGUCUGUAACAUUUUCUUAUUCUUAUCCAAUCAGUUGUAAAAGCAAAAGCUCAACAUUUGAGUAGGAAAGAAUCCACACUCCCGCUGCCCCCUAACUUGUAAUACUUUUCCACUCUUCUUUCUCUUCGUUUUUCCACUUCUUUGUAAUAUAUGUUCAUAUUUUACAAUAGCCAAAUGCCUAUAUUCUUUAUAUAUAUAUUAUAUGUUCAUACCUUUUGAAUCCAUCAUUUCUCGACUUUUCACUUGUCAAUAUGUUAUUACUAGUAGUUAGAUUUGUGAUAAGUUCUUGAUAAAGAGUCUAGUUUAUAAGUCUUAUCACAUUAAUUGAGCUAUAUUCAUCACUUGGCCAGUGUGAAUUGCCAACUAUCCGAGAGGACAAGUAGCAAGGAUAAAAUGAGAUGUUUAAUAACUUUGAUGAUGAUCUUGAUCAAGUUUUAUUGAUAGAGCCACUAAGGAUGUUGCUUUUACGGUUUCACAUUUUCUUGGUGAUUAUAUUUUCUCUAUCUAUAUAUAGUUAUAUGUUUCUAUAACUUGGUCUUUAUGCCCAUACUCUUUUUCCCAUACUUAGGGUUUGCAUAUGGUUCCUUUCUGGUUGAAAUAACUGUUUUAUUCUUUUUAUAAUAGUUCCUAAUUUUUCAAUUAUUGAAACUUAGCAAGUCAACUAAAAUUAAUGUUUACCAUAUAGUUGUGCUUGUUGUUCAUUUUAAUUGUUUGAAAAUUAUUGACGUUGCAUCAAUGUAGACUACUCGGAUUGCAAUAUUAUUGAUAAUCAUUGACUGGAGGUUUAGUUAAUGGGCUUAAGAAGUAACCUAAGAUUUGGAUAUAAUUUUCAUGAAGAGUAACUAACAGUGUCAAAAGUUGGGUUUAUACAGCCCAUCACAAGAACUUGCUUAUGUUUGAGCUUUGAAUCAGAAUCAGGUCGCGCCAAGAUUGAGUGAAGAUCUUCAUCUUCUGUGCAUUGAGGAUGAAGCUUUCAUGGUGAGUAACAUUGUGUUUCUUGUAGAAUUCUUCCCUUGUUAGCUCUCCAUAGGGGCUGUUCUCGUUAGCCCGGUUUAAUGGGUGCGACAUUUUCAGGUACCAAAAGAACAAAUUCUAUUACACAAAACAGAGAGAUUGAUGAAGAAGACAAAGUGGAGAAUUGGAGAGGCAUGUACUUCUGAAUUUCGAAUUGGCUUUUAUUUUGGUAUUUGAAGAGGAAUGAUUGUGAAUUGGGCAUCUGUGAAUCAUUUGGAAAAUGUCAGUUGCAACUGCAACCUUGUCUUAAGCUGUUAUGAACUUUGAUUCUUUGUAACAACCCAAGGACAGUAUUGUAGAUUUAAAUUGUUCAUGAUGUUGAAUUAAAAGCUAGAAGAUUGGAUCUUAAAAAAUUUGAGGUUCUGGAAUGAAGUUUGGUUAUAGAAGUGUUAAAAUGGAAUUGUGAUUGGACAUUCUAUAUAUAUAUAGCUUUAAAUCCUAAGUUUCCUUGUUGUAAUUGAAUUUUAAUAUGCAUAAGAGAACACUUCUUUAGAUAUUUAAUUUUCUUUAGAUCCUUUGGUGGUUUGUUUGAGAACAUACUGACCUUGUUUGGCCGCUGCAAUUCAUGUAAAUGGUAGGACUUUUCUGCAAUCAUGGACCAUUGUAUUUUGUUGAUGCAAAAACAAAAUUCUCUAAGAUCGGUCCGGCUUGUCAUAUUGCAAAAAUUCAUAGUGAGGUUUUUUUGUUUGCUUUAAAGUUCUUAUCUCUCUUCUUAUCAUGUUAAACAACGAAAAAUCUAUAAUCAGGCUUCUGUGAAGAAAAUGCAAAGGUUUUAAUUAAUAUCUCUCUAAUUUGCUUUCCAUCACUCUCUUCUUGCAUUUGAAUUUUGGAUUAGGUUCAUGUGAGUUUUUGCAUCCUUUUAAGUUUCAAUGAACAAGUUCAUUAAUGUGGGGGAUGUAUUCGUACUAGUGUGCUUAUGAUGUUUUUCUCUUUGGUUUUUAUUUGGUCGUUGUUGAGUUUUGAAGAAUAAAAGGGUUUCUUGGGAGGAAAGCUAAGGUGCCUAUGGCCUUUUGAGUUCUUUCUAAAGCUUAUUUCACUUCUUUAGUUUAAUUCCUGUUGGGUAAUUUGCUUGUUUUUGUAUCUAAUUUUUAGUUAUCGUUUUGGGCUUCCUUGUUUCUAGUUACUGCUACCAAUAGUUGUCCUUAGAUUGUAAAUUUAAUUAUAAAAAAGAACUUUUUUCUCUCUUUUUUAUUGUUGAGGUUGCAUUUGCUAUUUUGGAGAUUUAGUUUCACAUGUGAAGUUUUAUAUUUUUAGGCUAACUUAUGAAUCAGUGGGAUGGUUACAUAAGUUCCACCAUGAAAUUGUUACUUUUUAUAAAUGAUUUGAACACUUGAAUGAGCUAUACAUAUGUAUAUUUUUCUUAUGGGAUUUAAGUUCAAAUCAUACUCUCAAUCAAGUAUUCUUGAUGUUUUUGUUGUCUUAGGUGUAUUCGACGUCUUAGCAUAUGCUGAUAAAGAUCUUGUUUCAGGUGUAUUUGAUGUCUUAGAUGUAUUCAAUUUGAACGCUCGUGGAUUGUUAAUAAUCUUGAAUAAUCCUCUAACACUUUGGAUCUUUCCGGUAAGAUAAAAAAUGUUUUUAGUCUAAAGUCAUGUUUAGAAGUAAUUUUUUUUUUUCAAAUAUACCCCUUAGUAAACUGAAUUGUUAUUUGAGUCUCUAAUAUUAAGGGAUUGUAAGUUGUUAAUAAGAUUCUUAGAAUAAAAUAUGGAUAUGAGAGUUGUGGUCUGAAAACUGCUAUUAUAUUAAUAUAGAAUAUAUCCUUUAUAUUUCGCUUUAGUCAAGGUCAAAUUUUGUUCGAUUAGAAUAAUGUAAAUUUGUGAAGGACAAUAACAUGCUUUGUUUAAUUGUGCUCAAAUAUUGUUAGUAAAGCAGUUGCUUUGCUGCUGUUAGGUUGAGUUAUUGGUCAAUAGAUAUAUACUAGGAUGUUUGUUAGAUGCUUAAUUUUCAAUAUGAUAAUCUUAUUAUUAUGAUUAAGAGUUGAAUUGGGAGAAUUAAGGGCUAGAGGGGAUUAAGGUGGAGGGGUGGAGGGAUUUAGGUGCACAAACUAAGUUUUUAUUUACUUGUGAAUUGAUUUGCUUUGGAAAUGUUUUUUAGUUAUACUCUAAAAUGAGAUUUGUUUUCUUAUUAGGUUUGGAAGAAUACAUUGGAGUAGUGAAGCCAACUUGGAGCAAUUGAUUUAUAUAAGACUUUUUGUAUGGCUGGUAACAAAACCUUGAUUCUAAUAUACUUAUUUUAAGCUUGUUGGUAGCUAAAGAUAUCAAUAUUUAUUCUUUUUUUUUUUUUUUUUAUGUAAGCUACCUUUUAACAAAAAAUGGCUAUUAGUCAAUGGGUGUACGAAUAUUACAGAGUGUAUUAUUACGUAUAUGUAUUAAAGUGUUUACUCUUUGUUUUCAUAUGAGUGUGAUAUAUUAGAACAUUAUUGUUAUUGAAUUGGUUAGUGUAAUGGCAAAGCGGCAAGAAGAACAGGAUCACAAUCAUAGUAUCGUCUGUCGCAUUAUCAUGUGCUUAUACGUAGAUCACAUGUUAAUCUUUGGAUCAAACUUGCAUGUCAUAAAUGAUAUAAAAUCUAUGUUGAGUGCAAAAUUUGACAUUACAGACUUAGGAGAAGCUGAUGUAAUCCUAGGUAUCAAGAUUACAAGAACUGAAAAUGGAAUUUCCUUUGAUAAAUCUCUUUACAUAGAAAAGAUUCUUAAGAAGUAUAAUUAAUUUGAUAGUAAACCAGCUUGUACACCUUAUGACUCUAGUAUUAAAUUAUUCAAAAACAUUGGUCACAGUGUUAACCAAUUCGUGUAUGCUAGUAUUAUAGGUAGUCUAAGGUAUGCUGUUGAUUGCACUAGACCAGACAUGACUUAUGCUAUAGGAUUACUAUGUAGGUUUACUAACAGACGUAGUCUAGAAAACUGGAAUACUAUAGAACGGGUAAUGAGAUAUCUCAAGAAGACACAAAAUCUAGGAUUACAUUAUAAAAAGUUUCCCGCUUUACUUGAAGGUUAUAGGGAUGUUGAUUGGAGUUCCCUCUCAAAUGACUCAAAGGCUACAAAUGACUAUAUUUUUAAUGUAGCAGGAGGAAUUGUUGUUUGGAAAUCCAAGAAACAAACAAUUUUAGCCUAGGGAACGUUGGAGUCAGAGAUGAUAGCAUUAGCUACUGCUAGUGAAUUGGCUUCGAAACUUGCUACCAGAUAUUCCCACUUGGGAAAGACUAGUAUCAGACAUACUAAUCCAUUGUGAUAGUAUUGUAGUUGUCGCAGAAGUUUAGAAUCAUUAUUAUAACGGUAAGAGAUGACAAAUACGUCGUAAACAUAGUACCAUUAGAGAAUUUCUCACUACUGGUGUAGUGAUAGUGGAUUAUGUACGGUCUGAUGACAACUUGGUUGAUCCUUUGAUGAAAGAACUAGCCGGAGAGAAGGUUUUUAAAACCUCAGAAAGAAUGUGACUCAAGCCUAUUGAAAAAUGAAUUACUUUGAGGUAAACCCAACUUCUAAGACUGAAGAUUCCAAGAAACAAGUUCAAUGGAUAAUAAUUGAUCACAAGCAAUAUAACGAGAAUCAUGCUAAAUAAGGAGUUCCAUUCUUAUGAUUUAGUGUAGCAUGAUAUCCUAAAGCAUACGAGGAGGCUGAACUUUGUUCUUAAUAAAAUCUAUACUUGAUAUCAAGUAGGGUACCUAGCUACAUGAGUACUUUUGAUAGAUUCACCUUUGUGAAUGUGGAAGUGAGAGUCGCUUCCUAUGAAAUUCUGGGCAGAUGCAUAGAGCAUUCACUAAACUAGGAUAUACGUGCAAGGCCAUAAAGUAAGGGCUAGUUUAGAACUUCACUUAAAUAAUAUUGUGUGUACAAUAGCAUUAGAAGUAAAGUUCAAAACUACAAGUUAGUUAAAUCAUAUUUUAUUCAAAUUUUAUUUGAAUGAAUAUCUCUAAUAUCUUAUAGAUUUACAUUAAUAUAAUUAAUCAAAUCAUAUUUAAUCAAUAUUUCAUUCAAAUCUUAUUUGAAUGAAUAUCUAUCUAAUAUCUUAUAAAUUUAUAUUAAUAUAGUUGAUUAAAUUAUAUUUAAUUAAUAUUUCAUUAAUAAAAAUCUCUCCAAUAGAUUUAAUUAAAUAAAACUAAAUUAUUAAUUAAUUCUCUAAUUAAUUAAUAGCUAAAUUAAGUAUUAGCAUCUUAUAUUUAACCUAAAUUAAAUUUGAAUCAAAUUUAUAUAGAAGUUCCUUUCUUAACCAAUAAUUUUAAUAUGAAUCCAAUUCACGUUAACAUAAUAUUUGAAUUCAUUCAAAUAUUUUAUCUUUCAUAAAUUAAUUUUGAAUCAUAUCAAACAAAAACAAAACAAAGCUAUUUUUACGGGUUUGUUAUAUUUUUAAUAUUCACAUUUCUUUAUUUGAGUUUCUAACUGAUUUGUUUUUUAAGAAAACUCUCUUAUUCAUUAAUGAAAGUUGUAUUAUUAAACCAUUAUAGUUUAGUUUUCUUUUUAAUUUUUACAUAACACAUGCAACGAAAGUAGAGUAACAAACUAGUUUAAGAUUUAAAUCCUAUUUUGAUCGGUUUAAGUCUUCUUAGUUAAUUAAUCAAUUAUUUUCAUUCAAAAACUCAAAGUUAUGGGUAAAGGUAAAUUUAAGAUUUAAAUCCUAUUUUGAUCGCUACACUUGUAUCCUCGUUAUAUUUUCAUCAUUUAACUUUUAAAAACGUCUAUUUUUGUUUCUACAUUUCUUAAAAGAGCUACCUUUACUUUCAUCUUCGUCAUUAAGAUUUCGUAACUCUUUAAUGGAAUGAUAAUGUGAUUUUCAAUAUUUGGAUGAUUAGAUUUUAGAUUUAUCAUAUUAACUAAAUUGAUAAAUAGCCAAAAAAUCUUGCUAAUUUAUUCUAUGAAUCUUUUACAACGCACAAAAAUAUAUUCAACACACACUUGAAUCAAAUAAACCAAAAUUAAGUUUGCUCUUUUUUUUUUUCUCCAAAACUCAUCUCUCUCGCGUCCCUUCCCUAGCUCACACAUCAUUUAUUUUUAUUUUCUUAAAAUUGGAAUUUUUAAGAUGAUAAGAACAUUAAGUUGAAAAAAAGAAAAGAAAUCACAUAGUGGUGUUAACAUCCAUAACAAAGUGAAAUAACCCUAAAAGAAGAGAAAAGAAGCAUCAUACCAAAUUAAGCAAACAUAAAAUGAUGUAUUAGGGUUUUAAUAAUCUAUUGGAAUUUGAUUGGACUCUCCAAGAUCGACUCCUUACCUCUAGAAUUUUAAAAACUGUGACUCUGAAUAUUUUAAAAUUCCAUCGUCGACAAUUUUAAUAAAAUAAUAUGCUUGAUAAAAAUUAUUAAAAAUUGAAAUCAUUUUUUGAAUUGAUUCUUACCAGAGUUGACUUUAGAAAUAAAGUAUAAACAUGACCCACAACAACGUUAGAUUCUUUCAAUUGAUUUGGAGGUUUGAUACUUUCAUUAUAUUGGCAUCAUUCUAAUAUAACACAUGUAAAUUAUGAUAGUAAACACACACUAUUUCCAAAAAAAAUAAAAAACAACCCAACCAAACCUGACUUGACCCGACUUGAAUGCAGAUCUAUUGGGUUGAGCACUGGAAGCCUAGAAAUCGUACAGUUCAGGUGAAGUUAGUUUUGAAGGAAAAGCGAAGAGAUAAGAGCCCUACGCAUCAUAAUAAAAUUAAUCAUAACUAAUAAACUCAAUUUAGUUGGAAAUUUAAAAAUACUGAUUAUAGAAAAAUCAAACAAAAACUAAAUCUCUAUGGCUAAGAGAGAGAAGAGAAAAAGACACUUAGGCUCAUUGAAGUCUCUGUAUCUGCCAAUCACCAAUUUUCAACACUACUGCUUUGAAAUCAUACUAUGCUCUCAUAAUGAGAUUUUGGGUUUGUGGUUCAACACUACCGCUUUGAAACCAUACUAUGCUUUCGUAAUGAGAUUUUGGGAACCAUUCUGUCAUAUACUUUAAUUUAGUUAAAAGUAAAUGAAUAUUAAAAUAAUUAAUUAAUUUAAAUUAAAUCAUAUUUCAUUUACAUCGUACUUAAACGAAUAUCUCUCACAUCACCUAUAGUUUGAAUGUGUAUCAUAUAUAUAUAUUAAUUUAAACCUAUAGUUUUAAUAUGAAUCCAAUUUACAUUAAACUAAUAUUUCAACUCAUUCAAAUAUUUUAUUCUCUCAUAAAUUAAUUUUGAAUCAUAUCAAAAAUUAAAUUUAUAUAAUAAAGUUUAAUUAAAAUAUAAAGUUUAUAUUACAAUGUAUCACCAUGCAAUAUAUUAAUUUUCAAAGUAAAUUUGGACAUUUCAAAUUACAAUCAAUAUUUAUAAACUUCAUUUCCCUUUAUGAGCUAGGAAGGAAACCUUGUGGAUCUAUAGAUCAGAAGCUACAAUGAUAUGAGAUUAAUAGGCUAAACUCAUUAACCACAUUAGUCAAUAUUUGUUAAUUGUGUGUACACUUCAUUAAAAACUCACAUCUGAAUUCUUCUCACUGUAGAUAUAUUUAUCUGCCCACGAAUAUAGAUCAAUAAUACUAAGUUAGUUCUUCACAAGUGUUUGUAACACAAGUUAGGUCAAAUUACCGUUUUACAGUUGGAUUACUUCUAGUCCUUAAAUACCAGUGCUUCUCUAAUAAACAAUCUAUUUAUGGUCCAACCAAUAAGCAAAAAUCUCUCUCGUGCCAUGGAGAGGGUAGAGCGAUUUGUUCAUGUCCUCUAGACACGAUUUAAGAAAACACUAAUCUACUUACCCUAAAUUCGGAAAGGAGUGAAUUCCAUCUUGUGUGAUUAUGUUCCCACAUUCCCACUCAAUCUUAUCCUCAAAAUAAAAAGCAUAUUGAAUCGGUAAUCUGACCAUUAUCACUCAUACAAAUCAAAGAACAAUCUCUCGCGAACAGGAGUUCAUAAUACACUCAGGAUUAAGACAGAGUUACAUAGGUCAUUCAAAUGAAAUAGAAACCUACUAAUUAACAGAGUUACAUCUAGUGGUUACUAUUUUGUGGUCCUGCCUUAAGCAAAUUCAUUACAUUGUACCAUCACUCGCAUGUCACUUACAUGAACGCAUUCGAUCAUUGCAUUUGUAUUAAAUACAAAGUGAGUCGUAUCUAUAAUGUUACCAGGAUAAGGUUCCCAAAACCUUAUCCCUAUACUAUAGACCCUUUAAGUUAUAUCUCGAACAUUGAUCCCUGUAUGUCUCUAUAUACUGUUUAAGACUCAUCAAACAGCUUAGGAUGUUAGUUUAUUGGAUUUUGGUUAUUAGGACAAAACUAAUCAAAUAAUCAAUAACACUUUAUUGAAAUUAUUAUAAUAACACUUGAUUAAUAACGAUCAGUGGAUUACAUUUACUAUCUAUGAGUUGUAGAACAUAAAACCCAACAAAAGCGACUCAACCCAACCCAAUUAUACCUGUAGUUUUUUCUUGAAGAUUCAAUUGGCUAAAUUUUUGGAGAAGUAAUAUGUGCAUUUUAUUCUCAUCAAGGUUGAAUUGGUUUCAACCUCAACUUUGGGUAAGUUAAUUUGGAUGAAAUUUAGGACAAUAGUCAAUUGUUAAUUUUAUUAAAUGGGGUUACUCGCAUGACUAGCUUGCACGAUUAUGGGUGUAACUUCAAAUCACAGACACAUUAGGAGUAUGUACCUACAGAUCACUCAUAUAACUUGGGGUGUUCCUACAUGAUCACUUGCACGAUUAAGGAUGUUCCUACGGUACCACUCGCUCAGGUGUGCUCUAUUGGACACAUGACAUUUUAUUACCUUAUGGUAUCUCCUAACGGGAAGUUAACAGAUCAUCUAGCGUAACUAGUUGUGGGUCUUUUAUUGGGUAUAUUUUUAUGUACCCACAAUUUUUCUAUGUUUAAUAUUUUCGGCAAAUUGCUACAAGAUUUGGAAAGCGGACCGUGGCAUGCCAUAUGAGGACUUAUUCUUCUUCUGCCUUUCUUCAUUAGUACUUUUUGAGUAAUUUGAUUUUGAGACAUCUUUUUAAAAAAUUUACCUUAUAUAUUUAUCUUUAGUUUCUUUAAAAUUGUUAGAACCACAUAUCAUGUUUUUACAACAAUUUGUCAAUUUUAUGAUUUAUAAACAUAUAUUUGAUAUUACUCUAAUAAGAAUUUAUUUUUCUCAUUUACCUUUUCAGUAAUUACCUCAUUUAGUUUAAGAGGUUGAGUCAUUACAAAAAAAAAUGUAAUGAAAAGCGAAAUAACAAACUAAGUCCUCAUUUGACAUGUCACAGACUCUUCUUGUCGCUGGUCAAGCUUUCCAUUUCCUCUAUCUUUGCUAGAAAUGUUAAUCAUAGAAAAGAGUGAGUGUGAACAUGUACCCAGUAAGGGACCCACUAUUGGUCCCACAAGGUGAUAUAUUAACUUCCCAUUAUAAGGUACUCUGUCAUAAUAUAUCUCAUGAAGCAAAGGAACACACAUGAUCUAGUGAUCCUGGGAACACUUAUUAGUCUCAUGAUCUUAAAGGAGCAUACAAUAGUCUGGGUAAUAUAGUGAUCCCAUCGAACUACAAAUGAAACAUGGAAUGACAAACUAGUGGUCUCGUCGAACGAAUACAACUAAAUUGUCAAAGAUGGUGAUUCUGGGGGACAUUGUAUGUAUAGGUACACGUCCUACUAGCCAAAGUUAACAAACACCAUAGUCUAAAAACAUGUAAUAAUCAUCAUAAAUAUGACAUGAAACAUCAAUCAUAACAGUCUAAUCAUGUAAUCCAUCAAACAUGCAUAAACGUCAAAUAAGAUCAGCCAACAACUACAACUUAAAUAUGCAUUUUAGCUACCAUCAAUGCAUAAUCACAUGCAUGCUCUUAAUUUUACAUUUGAAGGUUCAGUAGUGGAAUCUCUUACCUUAGAUUAGCAAAAGAAUUAUCCUUUCACUGACAGCCAAAUUUUUUUCAAUUAAACAAAUCCUAAAAAUUAGUAAGGGAAAAUUUCAAUAACCUUAAUUGAUAAAAUUACCAAUGACUAGCAUCCAAAAAUUAUUUCAAUUUAUCUAACCAAGUGAUAGAUCGAAACCAAUUCAACCUUUGAUGAAAAAAAACAAAAAUUAGUCCUUCCAAGAUUGCCAAUAAAACCUUUAAAGACAAGAAUUGAACUUUAGUCCAAAAUUAAUUUAUUUAGAACAAAAGUUUAAUAUUUGAUGGAUAUAUUCAAAAUCCAAUCUAAAAACUCAACCAAUACUCACCAAAAGUGGGAUAAAUUGGCUUUGCACUGCUUGGAAUAAUAAUAGGCAGCAAUAGAAAAACUCAACCAAUAGGUAUCAAAGUCUAUUAUAAUAGGCACCAAUUUUAAGAAUAAUAAUUAAGUGUACAACAACAUUUUUUAAAAAUUGUAAAGCAAGGUCUGUCUGUAAUAGACUUUUAUUACUGAUAGAUUCUUAUUGUCUAUAAGUGAUAGACUUCUCAUUUGAUAACCUUAGACAAAUUUUAUUAUAUUUGCAAUUUUUUAAAAAUGUUAUUAUAUAUGAUAAUAUUUUGAAUUUAAUUAUUAUAUUUUCGACUAUAUAUAAAAAAAAAACUUCAUAUUUAUCUAUUAUAUGGUAUUAAAGUUAAUGAAACCUUACCAUUUUAUUUUUAUUUUUAAAAAAUUAAAAUUUUGAAGCAAAUCAUAAUAUCAUUGAGAAAAAUAAAAAAGUAAAAAAAUAAAUUAGAACGAGAAAUAAAACUUAAAACAUAAAUCUAAUAACAACUUCCUAUAAGAAACAAACUUUACGAAAUUGCAAAUAAAUAUUUUCACGGUUAAUGAAAUAUUUAAUUAAUAUUAAUAAAUCUAGAGUUUAGUCAUCCAAACAUAAAAAUCGCAUCACCAUUGUUCGGUUGAAAAGAUGACAAAUUCUAAUGACAAGCACCAAAGUAAGUUAUUUCUAAAAGUUGAGGGACUAAAGCGAAAAUUUUAAAAAGUUUAGAGACUAAAAUAGAAUCCGAUAUAAAGUUGAAACGGUAGUUGUUGAUGGAUGAUGGAUGAAUCUUUGUCAUUGCACAUUACUUUAAACGUUGGAUUAAAGUCUAUGUUUAUCGAAUAUAAAUAUACAAAAUAGUUGAUCAAUAGGUUGCAUAUAUAAGAGGAGGAAAGGCAUUCAGAUUUGUGUGUGGGUGAGUUUUAUCUUUAAACGAAAUCAUGCCUUCUGUUCAAAAAAUUAUGGAGCCAGUAGAAUUGAAGAUAGGUCGCGAGAAAUACUAUCAUUUCUUGAAAGAUAACGUUUAUCAUGCUCCUAAUAUUAUUUCAACCAUUCAAGACGUAGCAAUUCAUGAAGGUGAUUGGGACAAUUGUAGUCAUGACUCCAUAAAAGUAUGGAAUUACACCAUCGGUGAGUAUCAACACCAUCCAUUUCAUACCUCUAUAUACAUUAUGUAUUCCUUUUAAUUUUGUUAACUUUAAUUUUGCAUUAUUAUUGAGUGACUGUAUUACAUUUUUUCUGAAAGUGUCUUUGAAUUGUUUUGUAUAUGUGAUUAUAUUAUUUUGUUAAAAAAGAUGGUAAAGCUGAGGUUAUGAAAGAACAACCCACAUUCGAUGAUGAAAAUCUUCAAAUAAGUUUCACUGUGAUUGAAGGAGAUAUGUUGAAGAAAUAUAGAAGCAUGAAGAUUAGUUAUCAUUCCGUACCAAAGGGUCCUCAACAAUGUGUGCUUUACGUAACUUUAGAAUAUGAAAAAUAUGAUCCUACCACACCUGAUCCAUACAAUUACCUUCAAUUAAUUGCUAAAGCUAUUAAGGAUUUGGAGAACUAUCUUAUUCAUCAUUAGUACAAAUUAAAUGGUUUAGUUAAGUUUAUGGUUUUCUGUAGCAAAAUAAAAACCCUCUCCCAUCCUUCUGUAAAAUAGAUAUAGAUGGAAGAUCUACUGUUAUGUUUGCCUUCUUCUUUUUCUAUUUUUCUACAUGGCCAUUUAUGGUCUUUCAAAAUAUAUAUAUAUACUAAUAAAACAUAUAUUACAAUAUUCAUACCGUUGGUUUAUUUUAUUUUAUUUUUUCAAUUUUAGACGUUAAUUAAUAGCCAUAAUUUUGGAAAUAAUAUAUAUUCCAUAAUUUUCUGUUUAGAAUUUGUAAUUUAUUAUUCCAUCGAAUCUAGAGAAAAUAAUUUGAAUGGGUGGUUUAGACCAAUGAAAGCAAAAUAAAUAAUCUAUUAUUCCUUAAAAUAUUAGGACAAAAGAGAUUGAAAUUUAUGAUAUAGAUGAAUAAUUCUAAAAUUAAUAAGGAUAUAGAGAGUGAGAGAAACAAACAAAAGCUAUGUUACAUUCAUAAACCUUCCACGACAAUUUACCAGCUUUUAAGGUCGAAAUCACACAGGUGGAAAAUAUUUUUCUAUCAUUGCGAAAAAUAAUGUAAUUAUUUCUUUGUUGUUUAAAACAAUCUUUUUCUUAUGACAAUUUAAGGAGCCAUACUGAUUAGAUAGAAAAUCCAUUAUUAUGAUAACAUCAAACUCCUAAAUGUCUAAUGGAAUCAAAUAUCCACUAGUAAUGUUUCACCAUCAAUAUGCACAAUGCAAUCUUGAUACACACUAUUGGCUAUAAAACGGUCACCUACAGGUGUAAUUAUCAACAAUUCCUCAGUCAGACAUUCUAAGUUCUUAUGAACCUCAAUCAUAAAGAUAAUAGAAACAAAAGAAUGUAUAGCGCAAGGAUCCAUUAAGACAUGUGCAGACUUACUAAAUACAGUUAACGUACUAGUCACCACGCUUGGUGCAUUUGUUGUCUCAUAUUGUGUCCUUGCAAAAAUCUUCCCUUCCUGACGAGAUCGACGCCUUGGUCCUUUCUAUUUUACCCCACUAGAGCCUUCACCACUUGUUCUUGUGGAUUUUGGCUACUGACUUGCUAUAUGAGAAGUAGUUUUCUGAAGGGUAUUACCCUAUGGUAUCAAAUGCAGACAAUCUCUAUGAGGAUGACCUGGCUGACCAUAGCAAUAACAUACACUGCUCUUGCCAGAUCCUGAUACCACCCCAUUAGAUCGAAUAACAUGACAACCUACCGUAGGACAUAUAGAAUGACUAGAACUACUCGAUUUUUGAGCUCUUCAACCUGAUCCAAAUUUAAAAAUAAAAGAACCACUGUAUUGAAAAUUUCCUCUACUGGACACACUUGGUACAAAUAUCCCACUUCUUCCAUUCCUUGAUAGGUUUUGAUGAUUACUCGACGUGUUGAACGUACGUACAUUUUUUAAAGCUUCACUUUCAAGCUUCCUUUCAUGUACAUUUAUUUGUACUCUUAUUGCUGCCUCCACUAAUUUGGAGAAAUCAAUCCACUUUGCACAAGGUGUCACAGAAGUACGAAUUUCCUCUCGUAAUCCCUCUUCAACUCGCUUGCAAUCUUUAGCCUCAUCCUCAAUCACACUAGUGGCAUGCUCAUAUAAUUUUUUAUACUUCUUCUCAUAUUCAGCUAUAGUCAUUAGGCCUUGAGUGUGCUUCAAGAACUCACUUCAUUUUGCAUCACGGAAAGAGCUUGGAUAAAAUAUAUCAAAGAAUUUCUUUUUAAACUCAUCCCAACUUAUAUCACCAAUAGCUCAUCGUCUACUUUCUAUCAUGUGCCACCAAUCUUCAGCUCAAUUUUAGAGUAGAAAAACAAUAAGCUCCACUUUUUUGUCCUUCAGACAUCUCAUCGCUCUAAAGCACUUUUAAAGAAAAGUAAGCAACGCUUUAGUAUCCAUGGGAUUUGUUGUCCCUGCAAAAGUGGUUGCACCUAAGGCCUUCAAUCAUUCUAUUUCAUACUUCUUUUAUGGGUCUGAUUAUGCCAAUAUAAUCCUUGAAGCUAAUAUUUGAGCAAGUCUAUCUAGCAACUACUCUUUUACGUUACCCUCAUGAGUUGAUCAACAUUACGAUAGUUCCUUGAAGCUAAUAUAAUCCUUGAAGCUAAUAGUUGAUCAACAUUACGACGACUAGAUUUAGAAUCAGACUCCUCACUCUCGAUAGCUCCUCCUCUACUAGCGUUACUAGCUUUUGUAAUAGGGCACUUUCAAGGUCUACCUCGAGGUAUAAUUCGUAUAAAGGAAUGAUAGAACACACUUAUUUAGUAAAGAGGACCCAUCAACUUACUCAAUCACUACAAAACAUAUGAACUCUCAAAAUGUAUAAUAGCCCCUAAAAUCCUCAAAAUCAUGCUCUGAUACCAAGAUGUCACUCCCCGUUCUAUGUUUUCUCUCUAACCUAGACCGUGACAUGAAAACACUUUCUAAAAAACAAUCUUUUUCAACUUAAACUUCUAUAGAGCAAGUAUUAAGAAAUCCUACAUAAAUUUUUACAACAUCUCCCCUAAAAUUUAGGUUGUUAGCCAAACUUAAAAAUAGAGAGAUUUUCACUUCUAUAUAUAUAUACACGUAAUCUUUAGAUUCAAAAUCACAACAAGUGUGUUUCACCAUACACUCAUGCAAAUUGUUUUAGAGCUUCAAAUAGAGCUUAAAUCCAAACUGGAUAUUACUUACAAAAUAAUUACGAUCUAAAGAGGGAUAUAUCUCUCAAAACACAAGUCCUUAGCGUUACUCUCACUACAUCUAACCACCUCAUGAUGCAACACAAAAGUUAAGUAUGUACAUACAAAAUAAAAAUCUACAAAUGAAGGGGUUCAACCAAUGUUUGGUCCUUGAUUGCUACCUGGGCAGAAAGAAAACAUUGAAAACGUGAGCUUAAAACUUAGUGAGUUGUGAGUUUUUAAAAGUAAGAACUCGUAAAACAUGCUCUAAAAAAUGUGUAAAUGUACAUCGAUAGUAAAAAUAAUAAUUAAAACGCUAUCAUCACAUGAUACUAUAAAUCACAAGUAAAGCCAAAAAACUUAUACUCAAUCCAACCAUAGAAAACGCUUAAAUAUACGACAAAAAGUAGCUUGCACAUGAUUAAUGAAUCAUGCGGCCAAACUAAGCUCACGCAAAUUUAGUACCUGCCACAUUCGCAACCUUCAUCCAGUCUGAACAUGGUAGAAUACUAAAUACAUCGUCGAGAAUAUCUCAUACAUGAUCCAUAUCCAUAAGAAAACACGUGGCCAGACUGAGCUUACGCAUAUUUAGUACCUGCCACAGUGACAACCUCCAUCAAAUCCAACUAUGAUAGAAUACUAAAUACGUAGUUGAGAAAUACUCGCACGUGAUCCAUAUCUAUAUGAAAACACUCGGCCAAACUGAGCUCACACAUACUUAGCACCUACCAUGGUAAUAAACUCGGUAUCCGCUCCUAUGUGCAUAUAGAGCCACCCACCAUGGGUUAAACUAGGCCCGAAGCCAAAAUCACAUCCUACAUCCAUGUCCUCACCUAUACUCAGACUCUUAAAUCUUCGAUCAUGGCCUCUUUCAGCUCCAGAAUCAUCUAACAAACAUAAGUAGGCUACAGAAGUACAUUCACAUAACCUUAAGGAAAUCACCUUCUCGUUCAUCAUAAACAUCAUAGUCAUAUUUUAAAAACCUAGUACAAUCAAAAUUUGAAACAUAUUUUUAUGAAAUCCAAGUCAUACAUAUUCUUAAAAUCAUGAUUAGUAAACACAUCGUUUAAACAAAAAUGAAAACGUAGUCAAUAAAAUUUUUUAAGUAACAGUCGUUUCCAAACAAUAUCAUAAAAUAAAAUAUAUAAUGUAACGUCCCAAAAAUAAGACAAUUUUAAAUUUUGAUUAUCUUGGUUUAAUUUAAUAGUGUUAGAAUUAUUGGAAGUGAUUUGAGAUUUUUUUGUUGAGGAUUAUUUGAUAACUUAAUUUGGUGAAAAUAUGGGUAAUUAUAUAUAUGUGUAUAUAUAAUUAAUUAAGUUGUGGAAGAUUAAGAAUAGUUAUAUUAUUGGGAUAAUAUAAUUAUUAGGAAUAUUAUAUUAUUGAUAUUUGAAAGGAUAAUAAUAAUUUUGGAAGAAAAUAUAUUAUUGAGGAAAAAAAAGAAGAAAACAAUUAUAUUAUAAAAUAUAAUUAUUUUGAAAACAUAUUGUAUUUUGGGAUAAUAUGAUUAAUUAUAAUAUCAUUUUAUUAAUUUGGAGAAAAGAGAAAAUGUAGUUUUGUUAGGAAAUUAAAUGAUUAUUAUUAUUAUUAUUUAAUGUAAUUAAUUAAGGGCAUCUCGUUCAGCGUGCUUCAUCUUCCUCCCCAUUCACCUUCUUCUUCAUUCAAAGAACCCUACCGCUGCCAUCCCAUUUUUCACCGCUGCCAUCCGUGUUUAAGCCGUUCUCUCCAUCCACCUUUUGUUUCGUCAAGCCAAGCACAAUCUCCAGAUUUUUCCUUUCACGUCGUGCAUCCAUAGCUAGAAUGAAGUAAGGUCGAGUUUGGGCCAUGACGUUCCUCUAUCGUUGCACACACCAGUCGCGUUCCUCUUCAUUUAGUGUACUCCAUCCAUAUUUCUCUAUUUUUGACUGACUCAGUUGAAGUCAGAUAGUUACCGCUGCGCACAGUACAUAUUUAGAAGCACGAGCCCAUCCAUCUCCAUUGUGAGCCGAAGUUCCCCACCUCCCAACUGUGUGAAGCUUCCAUUCUCUUUUGAGCAAGUUAAGCUGUCUUCCUCCCUACUCCGAGCCGCACGCGUGGAUAAGCUGAACUUGAGCCAUAGACACUUUUAGGCAAGUCGUGAGUCCUUUCUCUUUUCCUUUAGCCAUUUAAUCCUUUUUUUAGCCAUUUUUGGUAAGUUUUGAAGGGUUUAAGUAUACCAUAACUAUUGGUUUAGAAUAAAAUUAUAUUGAUUGUAAGUUGGAUUAUUUUUGCUUGAACGUUAGGUUGGCCAAGUUUUAAUUUGAGGAUUUGAGUUGUGAAAUUGUUCCCAUUGAAGGUGAUUUUGGUUUUAACCUUAGCUUGGGGUAAACUUGGACACUUAGUAAAUAAUUGGAUGUUUGGUCGACAAAAUUAAUAGUCUUAAUUUUGUUCAUAUUUAAGACUAUGUUAAUUGGGAAUUUACUGUGGACAAGAACUUUAGCUAUCUCCAGGUAAAAGAUUCUACUAUUAGACCCUUGAUAUUAUGUUUCCCCUUAUUUUGCAUUAACUUAGCUAUGAUGAAUGAUGUGACUGUUAGGAAUGAUUGAUAUUGAUAGCUACAUAGACAACCGUUAUGUAUGACUGAGAUAUGUGAUGAUCAUGAUAUGGUAUGAAUGAAAUAUACCAUGGUUGAGAUAUAUUUUGAUUGAAAUAUGAUAUUUUUGCGAUGUUAUAUGUAUAUGCCUGUGUGGUCAACUUUUAUAUGUGAUUCAAUGGGAUCACUUACAACUCGAGAUCCCAGAUGUGUCCCUAUGGGAUCACUGGAUAGCGUGCAUUCAGGAGCACAAUAGUUAUGCGAUACUUUCUUACAGGACUCUAACGGAAAGUUAAUAGACACGUAGUAGGACUAGUAGUGGGUCCCUUACUGAGUAUAAAUUUAUACUCACUCUUUUCUAUGUCUAAUUUUUUAAGUAAGGAUAGAGGUAGAGCCAAACUGACGAAUGACAAGAAGUGACCCUAGUUUGCCAUAGAGGACAAUUUAUGUUUUCUUCCACAUUUAUGUUUUGAGUAUUUGAUUUACAGUAAUGUAUUUUAGAACUCAUGAGUAAUUUAGAUAUUUUCCAUCUAUUUUAAAUAGGGCCUAAACUAAUAUUUAAUUUAUUAUUUUCUUUACAUACUUUACAUUUUUUUAAAAAUGAAUAUUUGAAGCGUUUCCUUUAAAAUUUAGCAUUUUUUUUUUUUAUUUUACAUAAAAAGUCUUUAUUCUCUUUACUGGUAAUGACCUCAACUUAGUAUAAGAAGUUGGGUCGAUACAUAUAACUACAAAGAAAGCUUGAAAAUGAGUCACUCAUUAUUAAUGACUCGAUCAUCCAGGAUUAUACGCUUUUCCCACUUCAAGCUCUCUAACUUGUGCCCAAACACCAAAUUUCAAUCUUUUGAAGGGCUAGAUAAUGGCUCAAACUCCUCUAAAAUUAAAAUGUGAAGCAGUAAAGGUAAAUGGAGAAUGGAUAUGAAUAGUGGCUGAAUUGAUUUCUAUCGAGUUACUGCACACUAGAGUUGAAGGGGCGGGUGUUGGAGAGCGACUUGUGGCUAAUGCGAAUGUAGCAAAAUUGCUAUGCGCGAUUAGGAUGACUCUUGGCUUGAAUGUGAACAACAUAUGCAACACAAGUGGGGCGGCAACAAUGUGAAGACAAUGUUGGCGUCAACGGUCAACUCCGACUUGAGGUGGCGGCGUCAAUGCAAAGAAGAGAGGGAGUGAGGUGCAACGAAGAGAAAUUUCAUGAAGCAGAAGAAGAAGACUUUUUAUUUCCCUUUUUUUUUAUUUUCUAAAUAAAAAUAAAAAUUAAUAAUAUACAGAAAAUAACCAUGUUGUCCCUCACUUUAAACUAAACUUACUUUUGUCCUUGUCUCCCUACCUUUCAAAUACUUAAUAAACUUUCAAGUCUUUUACCAAACUAACAUUGUUCCAUUUUCUUCUAAAAAUAAAUCAACCUUAAAGAAUUGACAAUUGAUUUUAAACUGGUUUUUUCGCAACUUAAAAAACAUUAAUAUAAAUAAAAGAGAAUAGAAUAAAAGCUUACAUGCUUCAACCAGAGCUAGGGUUGACUUACUAUAUUUCAGACUAAUCAGGUUGUGAAAUCUGAUGGGUGAAGAAAACAAGAGAGAGGUUUGAGAGAAAGAGGGAUGGAAUUUGAAGGACAAAAGUUUGGCGAUUUUUUUUAAGUAAAUAAAAGAAAAAAAUGUCAAAAGUUUUUUAAUAUUUGAAAAAAGGCUCCUUUUUAUAGACAAAUUACAUGCAAAAUUUGCAUGUAAUUGAAUCACCAAAACCCAACACCUCAUAAUCUACCAACCAUUAGUUGUGUUGGAUGUUGUUUUGUCAAAUCUUUAAGUUUCGAUGGGAUUUUGCAACUACUUAGGAGGAGCCUGGGUAUAGUAUGCUCAUAAUCAAGGGGAGCCUGAUUUCAUUAAUACACAUGAUUGUAUUGUUUAAUGUAACCUAUGAUUAAGUUACAUGUUAAGAAUCUCAAUAAUAUUCCGGAUUUGAGCAGAAAAGCUCCACAAACGUAGGGAAUUUUUGUUGAAUUAGGUUAACAAAGUGCACUGUGUUCUUCUGUUAUUAAACUACUAGUUAAACAAAUAGUCGUAUACUUGUGGUAUAGCUAAGCGAUAUUUAACAUAUAUUUUUUUUCGAGUUGAAUUAUUUAUUAUUGCAUUUUCUCUUAGUGGGCUUGAUACUUUUUCAAUUGAAACCUCAAAACUUCAACAGCUUUCAAGAGGAACAAUUUUAAUGCGAUACCAUUCCAAAUUUAACAGAUUGCCCUUUGAUAUCUUAUCAUAUUAAAUAGGAGAUGAUUGCUUUAUAUUUAAAUGUGAUUUAAAUGUUAAAAAUAUGAAUACGAAAUCAUAUUCAGAAGCUCGAAAUUGAUGAAAAUUGUCAAAGUUCUAAAAAGUCAAAAUGUUGACAAAGGCGAAACGACGAUGUCCCAGACUCAAUUUUUAUUUUUUGAUCAAAAGUGAUCCUUUGACAGUUUCUUUGUUUUGGCAUGGUCCUAAGCCUUUUAGUUUAGGGAUUCCAACUCCAAGGACUUUUAUUUUUUACAAUUUUUUUUUAUUACAUUCUAAUAACGUUGUAAUUCAACAAACAAUCCUUGUCAUCACCAUGAGCCUUCACUUAGCCCAUUAAGAGUUAGCGAGAUUAUCCAACAAAAUAUUGGAUUUUGUUAGCUUUCACUUAGCCUUCACUCCUAUAGAUCAUGGGCUCCAAUGAUCCGAGAUUAACUGGCUAAACCUUUUAAACCAAGCUAAUCAACAUUCGUUAACUAAUGGGUCAUUCCACUAAAGUCUCAUAGUUGCACUCCACUCACUAUAUAUAUGUUUGUGUCCAUCUGAUAUAAUCAUGAUCAGUAAGUUAAUCCUUCAUAGGUUGUUUGUAACCUCGACUGAGUAAAAAUAUCGUUUUACCCCUGAGACUGCAUCUUGCACUUAAGUCCCACUAAUUCACUAUUGAACAAUUGAUUUAUGGUCCAAGCUUUAAAUCAAAUCUCUCUCAGGCCAAUGAGAGGGUGGGGCUCCUUCUUCAAGAAUUGGAUUUAGUCCUUAAGGAAAUGACCUACCUACUAACCCUAAAGCAGGCAAGAGUGACUUUCAUCUUGCACUCUAUGUCCCCAGCUAUCCACCUAAUCUUACCCCUAAAAUGGAAGGCUUAUUAGGCUAGCAUUAAUGAUUUACCCUCACCUAUGCAGACUUAAGGAUAAUCUUGUAUACUGAACAAUAAUUCAUAUAUAGUUAGGUCAAGAUUAAGAUUAAGUUACCCAGAUCAUCAAUAAUCGAAAGAGUCGGUUUUAAAUAGAAAACGACAUUAUAACAUAAAAGUGACUAUUUCAUGGUUCAUGCUUAUGUAAUCUCUUUAUAUAGGAUGCCCCUACUUUUAUGUAUCUAUCUGAAUGAUUUAGGAUCACAUCGUUUGUACUAACUAUAAAGCGAGUUGCACCCAUAGUGUCUCCAAAAUAAGGUCCCUAACCUUAUUCGUAUAUCAUAAACUAUAUUUAGGUUAUAUAUUCGAACUUGAUCCACGUUUAUGUCUGUACAUAAAUUUCAUGUUUACGCAAAAUAACAUCGGGAUCUUAUUGGAUGUAAGAUUAUAGUGUUCAUUUCACUAAUAAUUUCUCAAUAAUAUCUUUAUUAAAUAGAAUAUGAUUACAAACUACAAGUUUUACGACAUAAAUUCCAACAUGAAUAUUAUCUAAUUGUCAUUUGAUUAGGUUUUGGUUGUCACAUGAUGACCUUAUAUUAUUUUUUCCAUGGUUUGUAGCUUAUGAUAUUCUCAUCUGAUUAAAGCACCAAUCUCUAAGCUUCACCUAUUGACCUCAUAUUUUGAAUAUUAAUCAGAGUGAACAAUUACAAUUCAAUAAAGGUUUAUGUUUAGUCUUGAUAGAAGGAAAAUAUAAACUAAAAAGUGCUUUUAAAUACACCAAAAAUAAACUAAAAUAUAAAAAGGAAAUUACAUAGGAUAGUAUUUUGUGAAUGUGAUAUAGCAAUUAUAGCACAUUGUUUUAGAAUUUUGCAAAUAUGACAAAAUUUUUACUACUUCAUCCUAAAUUUGUUAUUAUUCCUAAACUACUCUUCAAUAACUUAUUUCUCUUUCUCUCUUAAAUGCCCUACUCAUUAUUUGUUUAUGCUCCCAGAUUUUAAGGCCCUAACUAAUUGUUUAUUCUUAUACUAGAAAAAUUAUUUUUUCUUUCUAUCUUAAUAUUAAUUUUAAAAUAUCAACAGUACAAUAAUUACAAUACGAAAUAUAAUAUAAUGGUUGUUGGUUGGAGUAAUUUAACUUCAUUUGUGAUUUUUUUAUACUUUCUUUGAUGUGCAUUUUGUGUUGAACCUAAUUCCAAAUGAUUUUUUAUUUUUAUUUUUUUACAUUAAUUUUUUUUUGUUUUACUUUGUCUCAGUUUCGUAUAUCAGUGUUUUGAUAUUUAUAUUAUAUGUAUUAGUUGGUUAAUAUAGUUACUACAUGAUUUUCGUUUUUUCAAAUUUUAUGUUGUUCAUUCGAGUAUUAUUAAGUAAAUGAAUGAUCUAACUCAGUGUAUCAUGAUCAAGUAUAUCAACAUUAUAUUGUUAAAGCAUAUCAGUAUCAAGUAUAUGAAUCAAGUUUACAAGUGUACAUUAAUAAUAUAUCAAGUGUAUAAGUAGAACUUCAAGCAUAUCAAGUGCAUUUAAUCAAUCAAUUGUAUAAGUGAAUAAUACUAAAUGUAUCUAUAAUGGAUCAGGUAUAUCAAACAUAUAUUACUAAUGUUUCAGGUAUGUAUCAAAACGUAUCGAGUGUAUCAAGAGUUAUUCUUAGAAGUUUUGUUAUUUAAAAUAGUUUUUCUAGAAUAAGACUCUAAAAUACAAAAAUAAAACUAGUUUUGGAAUAUGGAGAAACAAAGAUUCAACAUCGUUUAUAUUAAUUAUACUAACCAUGUGAUAAUAUAACAAAGAAAAAAAGAGAAUAUUAUAACAAACAAUAAAGAGAAAGAAAAAUUAAAUGAUAUUUUAAACUUUACAAAUUUCAAAUGGGAAAAAUAAAAGAAACAUUAGUAAAAGACAUGUGCCAAAAGCCAGUAGUCAAUGAUAGAUUAACAAGGUGAGGAUGCUUCAAAAACUUAAAUAAUAAGAAUAUGAAUAUGAAUAAGAAUAAGAAUAAGGUGAGAAAGCUGGAGAAAGAGAAGAAAAAAAAUGGUAAAAUUAAAAUUUGGAAAAAGUUAAUAUUAGACCUUAACAUUUUGCUAACUUUGCAAAAUUAGAAACCUCAUUGACAACUUUGCAAAAUACAUAAAAUAUUUUACCACACAUUAUACUUUUUCUUUCAAAAACAUUCAUUCAAACAAUACAUGUGCAGGAUUGUUCAAAUGUCAAUCAUACAAAAUGAACAAAUUGUUAAUGAAAUUACAAUUGAUAGUCGAAAUGAUAAAAUACUGAAAAAAGAUUUAAGAAUUUGAUUGAUACAUUAAAAAAAUUAAUUUAAGUUGAUACGUUAAUAUAAGGGUUUUUUUCUAUUAAAAGAAACAAAAUAUUUUGCACUUGUUUCAUGUUUUGGCAAGUAAAUUUAAUCAAUUGGUUGGUUUCAUGUUUUUGCUAUCAUCUUUAUGUGACAUUUAAUUCAAAUUGCCACUAAUUACAAAAUACACAUAAUUAGUGGAUUUUCAAAGCUUUUGCCAAAUAACUUCUGAAAGGGGAGGAAGGGUGAAAAAGACUUAUUUGGUUGUUAUUUUUGCUAUUUUUUGUUCUAUGACAACCCACCAAUAUGAGUUCGAUUGAGUCAAUCAAAAUUUAAUAACUCAGUUUUUACCCAGAACUAAAUUUUGUGUUUCCUUAUCUCUUCACAACUCAUCCUCACUCUCCCUGCUUCCAAUGUGUUCAAUAGCUCCACUCAUCAACUAGUUCACGACUAUUGCUGCCACACUCUAAGAACAAACUGCACAACUGCUUUUCCACGUCCAACUCUGACGACCAACAUCGAGCUCUAUCCACCACCACCACCAAAGACCAAUUUUGAUACAUCUUCAAGCAACCAAAACCAUGUAUGACGAAAAUUUUGGCUCUAGAAACCACCUCCAACGACCAAACCUAAAUAACCAACUCCAACAACCUCUUUCAUGCUUCGAGAACCACCUCUGACUGUAAACUCGAUCAAAAAUUACUUACAUUAGAUCAAUUUUGAUGACCACCUUCAUAUGACCAACUAUAGGUUUCGACAACCCCUUUGAUGACAAACUCUACUAACCAACUCCCAGCCAUCUUCUUGUCACUUCAAACGCUAAUAACCACAUUUCACUACAAACUCUAAUGGACAAUAAUCAACUUUUAAUGACCUAUUCUAGUCUCCACACCAACCACCUCAUAUAACAAACUCGGAUAAAAAUCACAUUUAAUGAUCAACUUUAAUGACAACUACGUCUAACAAUCAAGACUAACAUUCACCUCAGAUAACCAAUUUCGAAGAAAGCCACCUCUAACGGUCAACUUUAAAGACGACCACAUUUUGUAGCCAACUCCAACGAUCACCUCGAACAACUGACUCUAACUAACUCAAGUAAUAAUAUACUAUCGAAAAACUUGGUAGGAGAAAGUGUAUUUAAAUUGCAAUUAUUAGUUUAAAGUAUUUAAUAGUUUUUUUUUAUUAAUUUUGAUAUUGAGAGAUUGUAUAUAGAUAAUCUGAUCAUUCUUAUAAAGGUAACUAAUUGUUUCUUAACAACCCACUUCAUUUUAAUAAGAGGUGUUGUUUCUGUCAACUUGGUAUGAAUGACUGACUUAACUAUUUUAGUGAACACAAUAUUUUUAUGCAUUAAAUUGACUCAUUUUGGCCAUGAUUUUAUAUAUAUAUAUAUAUCCUACCUUUCUUAAAUGUCAAUAAAUCCUAAUGAUGUGCGUAUUUCUUAUGCAUGUAAUACAUACAUUCCACGACUGUUAAAGUACGUUGUAAGAUUAUUAUAGUAAUUUGCCUAUCUAAUUAAUGUCCAAUAUUUAUAUAUAAACAACUGUAAAUUAUAUUUUUAUUUAUCGAAUUCACAUAUCAAUCAAAGUUAAGAUUGAACGAUGAAGCAAACAAUUUAAAGAAAAAAAAAUUUAAAAACAAUUCAAAUUUAUUUUAAAUAUUGAGAUUAGUGAGAAUGAUCCUUCUUUGUCUUUAGUAACGAGUACAUCCAAAGAAUGCCUUGGUGGGGAUUUUUCCAAAGUGAUGCUUAAAAUUUUGUACUUUAGUAGUUAGCCACCUUUUAAUAUAUAUGUCUUAAUUAGUCACGAAUUUAAGCAAGGUUUAAGAAGAUUGUGUGGAUACAAGUUGGGUGAUUAUAAUAACAACCUGUUUCAAAUCUGUAUGCAUAGAUCCAUCUUGGGUUUUGUCUCCCAAGUUUCCCGUCCGACCUUUUUGUUUUAUCUCCUCCACUUUAAUGUCUCCAUACAAAGUUCUAAACUGUUAUCUUUGUUUGAUGAUGGUUAUGCUUAUAUGUGAUUUAAGCCUUAUUCCUAUCAAUAAGCUAAUACUAGAAGAAAUUUGAUCUUUAAUGUUAGUUUAUAACUGAGAUUAAUGGUCUUUACUGUUGGUUGACAACCGACAUCUAUGCUAGCAUUAUUAAAGAUCUUUAAUGUCGUUUCUGCUUUGAUGUCAGUUUAAAAAUAACAUUCAAGGUCUCAUUAAUGUCGGUUUAAAAACGACAUUAAAGGCCUUUAAUAUUGUUUUUAAACUGACAUUUUUUAUGAUGUUAUUGAAGAUCUUUAGUGUCGGUUGACCUUUGAUGUCAUUUUAAAAUCGACAUUAAAGUCUUGUUUUUUUAUCUAUUUUUAUAAAUUAUUUUUUUAAACUGACAUUAAAGUCUUGUUUUUGGAUCUAUUUUUAUUUAUUUGUUGCAUUGUUCAUUUUUCAUAAAUCGACAUUGGAUACGUGUAGGUAAAUAUUUUUUUCUCAUGCCAACAAAUCAAUAAAAUUAAUAUUAUUUUAGAAAGUACAAUAUUUUUCUUUUACAUUUGUAUACACAAAGUGAAAUCUUAAUUAAGAUAUUGUGUUUGUAUAUACAUUCUACAAUAAUACAUGAAACAAGAUCCUAAUACAAGACUAGUUAUAUAAGAGUGAAAAGUACUUAAAUAAGAAAUCCUAAAAGCCUUCAUAGUCUUCAACUUUCAUCCAUCGUUUCCAUCUACACAAUCGCUUAAGGGUAUACUUAUAUUUCUCACCUUUCAUAAGAGUGAAAGAUACUGUACGACCUACCUUUGCUUCAAUGCCAGAUAAUUUAUUUAUUUUUAUGUGUGGAAAGACGCAACUUUUGAACCAAGCCCACGAAUUGACCCAUCAACACUUCCAAAGUUUGUUGGAACAACAGGUGAUAAGGCUCCAGCAGAACUGAUAAGAUUUUCAAAUAGAAAGUCAGUUAAAUUCUAGUAGUACAUCAAACCAAGCUUUAGUUCAUAACUAAAAGAUAGUAGAUCACAGCAAAAAUCAAACCUAACAAAUGAAAAGAUGAUCAAGAACAAAGCAAUCAAGGAACACUAUAGAACUCAAUAGCUUCAAAGGAACACUAUAUAACUCAAUAGCUUCCAAGGAACACUACAUAACUCAAUCAAGACACACUACAAAACUUAUAACUGAUAUGUUCUAUUACUAAUAGAUUCCAAGGGCUAGAUCUAAUUCUUAUCAAUAUAACAUGAUUUUUUUUUUUAAAAUAGUGUGUGAUCUAUGCUCAAGAGUCUAAAAAUUAAACCCACAAUUAUUAUUAGUUUUGAGUACAUUCACGAUAAUUGAACAAUUGUUAACUAAAUCUUCCAAACAAAUAAUGUGGGUUCAGUUAGCCAUUCAAAUUUCAUCAGACUAUAUUAGAAAAAAAAAAUUAUGCUUUAGACUAAGAAAAAUAACUAUUGUAAAAGAACACGAAAAACCUUGAAAAUCCUAUGAGUGCAACAUGCUUGUGGCCAUAUUUCGUAACGUUAUAUAUGCAAAAGAAAUAUAUUUGUAUAUAUAUAAUGAAAAUUUAUGAACCUACACAUGCGCACAUCUAAUGAUAAUUACUUACUCUGCAUUUUUCAUUUUGGCAAAUCCAUCUCCAAGAAUGUUGUAAGUUACCAAGCUCAUUUCUAUGCCUUCUUUCAUUUUUCUAACACAAGAUAGUAUGAAUAAGGCUGCACAUCAUUAAAGCUUACUCUUAUCGCAAGGCGACACUGUUGAAAAAACAUUUAGAUUUAAUUAAUAUAGUAAAUAUACUUUGGCAAUGACAUAUCUACCAUCAGAGUAUAUAUUUCAAGCAUAAAAUACAUAAUUGACCUUCUAUACAAAUAAAUCAAACUUUAAUCAUAUCCAAAACUGGAAUGGUGACCUUUGUAUUGCAUCAAACCUUAUAGAACACAAGCUCGACUAGCAACUUCUCAAUUUGGCUUCGCAUUUUCUGUAUUUGAGCUCCUAAAGGAUCUCAUUUGAUCUAAAAACAAAAAAUAUUAAUAGUAAUGAAGAAAGCAGUCAAUAGUCUCCCUAAUAACUCCUAUAAACACACAAAAAAAAAAAAAACAUUGUUCUCCGUAAAUUCUUUUGUAGACUGACAAUGAAAAAGUUCAAACAAAGUGCCGUGAAAGUCAAGGGAUAUCUCAAAUGACUAUGAGCAAAUUUAUCAACAUAUAAAUAAGAAUAGAAAUUAACCAGAUUUUAAGAACAUCUGUUGCUCAUUCCCCUUGUCUUACAUGACCAGAUCAUAAUGCAAGACUUGAUAAGUAUACCCACUUGCUCUCCACAUAAUGCUUUUGAGAUAUUUCCAACCGCGAGAAGAUUAAAGAGGACAACUAUAAAAAUAAAUUUUGGUAGGAUUUCAUUAUGAUUUUUCAACAACAAUGCAAUAAAGUGAAAAAAGAAACUGAAAUCCUAAGAACCUGAGGACCAUUUAAACAUUAUAUAAUUUUAGAUUCUAGCAUCUACUCUACCUCAUGGAUGAAAGCACAUCAAAACUUAUAUUUUUAGUGCUAUAACAUUUUUUUCAGUUCAACAAAACAUCAAAAUGAAGGUGGGAAAUUCAAUCUUCUAAUUUCUUGUCUGUAUCUUUACUAGGUAAAGUAUACUCAGGUUCGCUAGUAUUAUGAUGUUAAACCAUAAUAUUAAAAUGAUGUAAUUUUUGAAGAAUAAACUUGAAAACGUACCAAGAAGGUUGUUCUCUUCCCAUAAAGUUAAUAUGCAGUAAUGUCCAUGCUAGUGGCACCUCCUGAUACCAAUUCCCUGAAAGACCAAUAAAAUGGUGAAAUUAAGUGAAAAUUUUAAUAUACAAUAAUGCAAAACAAACAAACAAAAUUGUUUAAUAAUAUGCAAGUUUAAAGCUGCCAUGUUAGAAAUGAUAUAUAGCCUCAGGCUUAAACUAGAAAAAUAAAGGGAUUAAAGAAUAUACCAAUCCGCAUUGGUUAAAAUUCUUUUGGAAGUCAACUCCAAAAUAAAGCUACAGAAAUAAUUGGCUUAACAUAAUUUUGGUUCAUGAGGCUAUGGUUUCAAGAUGGAUACUUUAUGUCCAAGCUUGGUAGUUUCUAGUAUUGUCUUUUUAUUUAUAGAGCAGAAAAAGUUGAAUCAACUAAUAGAGAAUGAUCAAUAAACCUACGAAAAAAGCAGCUACUCGAGGAAGAGGAUCCUUUUAAAGGAUUAGGCGUCCACACUCUGAAAUCCUCUCCCAUGUCUAAAACCACCUUCAGCCUUUUAAAACUCUUCAUUUUAUUUAAAUUGUGUACUUAAAAUAUUACAAUAAACCAUACCAUCAUCGAAACAAGUUGGCACCUUUCAUCCCUAUAAACUAUAAUAUAGUAAUCAAACUCUUUAAUAUCCAUUAUCUAAAUAAUCAAGAAUUUAUAAACCGUACAAGCAAUUAAGUCAAAGAUGGUUAUGUUGAUACAACCUCAUCAUCAUUUCCCACCAAAUUUGAAGUGUUAAACCAAGAACUCUCGAGGGAACAAAGAAGGAUCCACAUUUUCUUUAGCAACUAUUUUAAUACAAAAAUAAAAAAGAACCAAUGACAUGAUGAAAGUGUUGUUACUUCCCGUGCCUUGAAAAUCAAUAACUUCAAGUAUUGACUUUUUAUUUUCAUCUAGGUAUUUAACUUCUUUAUACAGAAAAAGAACAAUGUUUUUAUGGCAGGACUAUAGUUGCUAGCCUUUGAUUGGAGUCAUUAACAACCCACUUAUCUCCAUCAUCCCUACCAAAUUAUUGAACGAAUGGACUUCCGAUAGUGGAAGCGUGUGAACGCCGUAAAAAAGAAAUUUAACUUGAAACAUAGAGAAAACACCUAAACAUGCUUCUAUAGAAAAAAAAAAAAAAAAAAAAACUAACCUUUGUAGAACUUUUCAAGAAUUCUCGAACCUCCCAAAGAAUACCACGAGGAGAACAACACGAAGUCUUCCUUAUUAUUCUCAAGAUAAAAAAGACAACAGAGAGUUUGUGGGGCUUCUGUGUUCUUUUUUUUUUCGUUAAAGAGAAAAAUAUUUGCAGAGAGAUUUUUCUUUUUGGAACCAACAGAUCGUCAAAAUCCGUUUCUGGAAAGAUUGCAUGCCUCCCUUCUAUAUCUUAACCAAAAGAUAGGAAGAGAGAUGAAGAGGGAAGUUAUCAACUCCCUCUCUAUCACGUAGAAUAACUCCGUUGGGAGUUAUUCUUUUAUUUAAAUUAAUAUUAAUAUAAAUCUAAUAUAAAUUCAAAUGAUAUUAUAUUUUAUAAUAUAUCAUAUAUAAUAUAACCAAUGAUUUAGAUUUCUCAUGUGAUCUAUAGUUCUAAUAUGAAUCAAAUCCAUAUUAAUUUUUAAUCUAUAGUUUAUUUAUGAAUCUUAUUCAUAUUAUUAUUAUUUGAAUCAUAUUCAAAUAUUAACUUCUCUCGUAAAAAUUUUAUAUUAUAAUGUAUCAAAUACAUUAUAUUAAUUGUAUCAUAUACAAUUUACUCUCUUUAAUCAAUUUGAACGAUUCAAAUUAAACCAAAAUAAAUUUGAUUCUCAUUUAUCUUUAUUGAUCUAACAAGGGGACCUUAUAGACCUAUAGAUUAAAGCUCAAAUGAUGUGAGAUUAAUUAAUUAAACUCUUUAAUUAAAUUAAUCACUAUUCAUUAACUAUCAGUCAUUCCACUAAAGACCAAUAGUUGCACUCUUCUUACUGUAGAUAUAAUUUUGUGUCCAUUAGAUAUAACUAAUCAACAAUGCAAUGACCCUUCACAAAUUGUUCAUAAGUACAGCUAGACCAAAAAUUACCGUUUUGCCCUUGUAGUUACAUCUAACUCCUAAAGUACCACCAAUCCCUCUAAUGAACAAUAGUUAUAGUCUCACUAUAACUGAACUCCUCUCGGGACAAGAGAGGGUGUGAUGCCACAUUGUUCAAGCCUUGGAAUCAACCCUUAAGAGAGCAAUUUCUCUACUUACUCUAUCUAUAGAGAAGGAGUGAGUUCCUUCUUGUGUAAUUGUGUUCCCAACUUCCUAAUCAAACAAAUCGCCAAAAUGGCAGGCCUAUUGAGUCGGCAAUAUAGGUCACUCUCACCCAUGCAAAUCAAAGGACUACCUUCAUAGGCAGGAGUUCACAACUCAUUCAGGAUUCAGGUCAAGUCACCUAUGGUCAUCUUGGUGAAAUGUAGUCUCAACUAGUAACGGUGUUAAUAAGAGAGACUAUUCAUUCAAUGGUCCGAUCUUAUACAAACUCUUUGUAUAGAAUACCCCUGCUCUAAUGUCUUGACAUGCAUGAUUAGGAUCAAAUCAUUUAUAGCACUUUAGAACAAUUGUAACAACUACAAAGCAGACCAUAUUCGUAGUGUCACCAGGAUAAGGCAUCCAGCCUUAUCCAUCUACUACAGACCAUUUAGGUUACCAUUCAAACAUGGUCCACUUGUAUGUCUCCACAUACAUGUUUAGGUUACAAAAGAUAACCUUGGAUGUUAGUUUAUUGGUUUUGUGGGUUAAUGCAAAUAAAUGUCAAAUAAUUAACACAUUUUAUUUUAUUAGAUAAAUAAAAUGUUUGUAUAAUAUAUACAAUUACAAACUACAAGACCACAAGAUUUAGGGCAUCAAUUCCAACAAUUAUACACGUCAAUACAUUAGAGAAACAUUCAUGAUGAAGCUUUCAACCAUUGUGAAUAAGGCAUACUUUUUAAAUAUAUACAUAUGAACCAUUGUAGAUAAGGAAUGUAUUUUCGUUUAAUAUAUAUUCAAAUGCAAAUUUUGUUAAGAGCAACAACCUAAUGAAAAGAACUUCCGAUCAACAGACACUAGCAGAAAAGUGGUCUACGACGACAGUUAUUUACUGUCGUAAACGAAAUUCGCGACAGUUAUUUUCAGUCAUAGAAGCGGGAGUCAUGGAAAGUCCUUCGAUGACAGUUUUUAAAAAUUGUUGCAAUAAGUUAUUUUAUGACAUGAAAUAAAUGUCAUUAAUCAGAAUUCAACGACGUCAAAUAACUGUCAUAUUUUAUUUUAUGACAACAAAUAACUAUCAUUAUUUGUGUAUUAACGACAGUUAAAUAAAUGUCGCGAAUUCAUUUAUUGUGACAUUUUUUAAUUGUCAUGAAUAUGUUAAUCGCGACAGUUUUUUUGUAUAAAAAUGUCAUGGUUUUGCUAUAGACGACUUUUUUUUUUGUCACAUAUAGGACAAUCGUGACAAUUUAUUUUAUUAAACAACUGUCAUCGUUUUCGAAUUGACAACAAUUAAUCAUUUAUUUUCUGUUGCAAAUUUCUCAAUUUACUACAAUUUUUCCUGUUCUCCUUGCCGCUCCACCAUUACACGAACCAUUUAAAUGACAAUAAUGUAGCUGAGAAUGACAAUUUUGAAUUUAUAAUAUUGACACCCAUAUAGAAAAAAGUAGCCAACACUUUAAUAUAUACACGAUAUAAUACAAUUGAUAAUAUUCGUACAUUUCCAAUCAAGUGUCAACAAUUUACAAGUACGAAAUCUCAACCCUUAAUCAAAAAAUAUUUUAAAUAGCAUUAGAAUACAUCUAACAAGAUUUUCUGCAGAAGCAUAAACGACCAACCGAUAAUAUUCUACUAUGAAAAUGUUCUUUGAAAGAAAACUCAUGAAGUUGUCGACUCCGGUUGAACCUACAAAGACAACAUGAAUAUAAGCAUCCAUAACACAUACAUUUGUGAACCAACAUUACCACAACAAAGAAGAAAAUGGAGGACUGCCAUGUAGUAAUGUGAAUGUAAAAUGUUGAAGAGAAUUAUUGGUGACGUAAACGAAUAAAUAUAAGUGAUAUAAGCAUUUAAGAAUACCUCCAUCUCCAUUUUUUAUGAAGUUAAUCUUGCCACAACAACUGCAGCAGCCUCUUGAUCAAACCCUUGCACCAAUUCCUGAAAUCAAUGCCUCAAGUAUUUAGCUUUUUUCCAACAUCGAGAUAGAGAAAGAGAACCAAACAGAGAAAGAGAACUAUGUACAUAAAAGACAUGUCUCUAGAAACAAAAGCUAAUAAGAAACUACUAUUCAACUUACUUUCCAUGGUUUAUAAACUUUAAGAAAGAUUAAAAAAAUAUAACAAGAUAUAUAUACACACCUUAUAUAGGACAUUAUGUAAUGGGACAAUGAAAAAUAAGUUCAAUAAACUUUAAUGUACCCCAAUCUACCAUAAACUUGAGUUCACUCAAAACCUUUAAGAAAAUGGACAAAUAAAAAUAUAAUCAAGCAAACAUAAUCAUUUUGUUAGGUACACGCAAGAUAAACUAUUCCACACCAACAUAUAUAAUCAAUAUACAAAUGAAAUCUUUGAGUUUCACAAGCUAAACUCAAUUUAAACUUUGAACUAACAAGUCCAAACAAUUUUCAUUGUAAUUCAAUAGUUAAAAACGUACCUUGGAGCCCUUCCAACCCUAUCAAAAAAACAUAUAAGUCUAGCACUUUAACAAAUUUCUAGUGCAUAUUAUGCAUCUCAAUUGAUCACAACAAAAUAAGAUUGAACAUAAAUACUCAUAAGUAAUACCUUUUCAAUGUUGCAUUUUCAUAAAAAUUCAACAAGCAUUGUCACUCUCUCGAGGAUUCUUCAAGCCCUAAGUAUGAAAGAAUGUUCAAUGAUUAAAUCGUACUCCAUUUAAGGACGUUAUGAUUAAUAUUGAUGUCAUGUUUAUGAUCUUUAUGAUAUGUUCACAUGCUUUAGAUUGUGGUGUGUCUGUUAACUUUGUCUGUUGAGCUUUCACCCCACCUAUAUUGUAAUCCUAUCUAAGGGGUUACUCACACAACUAGGGGUGUUCCUUUAGGAUCGCUCGCACGAUUAGAGGUGUACCUACGUAUCACAGAUAUAUUUAGGAGUGUGUCCCUACGAUCACUCACACGACUAGGGAUGUUCGUACAAGUCACUCACACGAUUAGGGGGAUUCGUACGGUUUCGUUCAGUGCGUAUAUCUACGAUCACUUUUGACAAUUAGGGGUGUCCCUACGGAAUCACUCACACAAUUAGGGGUGCUCGUAUGAUAUCACUUGCUCAGGUGUGUUCCAUUGGACACAUGACACCAUUAUUAUGUUUCUAAUAGGAAAUUAACAGAUCAUCUAGUGGGUUCCUUACUGGGUAUAUUUAUAUACUCAUUAUUUUCUAUGUUUAAUAUUUCAGGCAAAGGUAUAAGAUAGAAAAGCUGGCGAGCGACAGGGAGGGCCCGUGACAAAGGAACUCAUUAUUUUCAAGUCGUUACACGCUGCCCCAAACUCCACCACAAAGGAACUCCAUCACAAGCUCUGCUACUAUGUGAUGACUCCAAAUCUGACUUUAGAUGCCAAAUCGUAUGUUUUUCUUCUUCCUCAAAUGUUGAAUCUCACAUCUCUAUUUCUCUUCUAAUGUUGGUCUCUUUGGGUUCAUUUGGGAUUUUUACUUUAAUGUGUCUGAAAUUUCGAUUCUACUUGGUAUGUUUUGCUAGCUUGUUGGCGAGGUCCUGAACUCUUUGAGAUGUUUAUGUUAUAGAUUUGUGUUUCUCUAAUUUUAUUUCGAGAUUUUUUGAGUUAAUAUUGCUAAAGUAUGGAUCUAAAUUUGGUCCUACUUGAUAAUGUUUAUUUUUGUUAUGUGUUGAUGGGUUUGCAUCUCUCUCUGGUCACCCUAGGUUUACUCGAAGCUUUUUGCUCAAUUUGUUUGUAAAGUGACAUUGUUUCUCUAUGAUUUUCUGAAAUUUUUUGGAGUUCUUUAUGAAUUAGGACCAACAAAUUUAUUGUUAUUUGAUGUUUAUUUCUUUUUUUAUGGUGGAUUUCUUCAGGCUCUUGAAAAAUAUAUCAUGAUUUAAUUUAUUUCGAGAUAAAAUUUUCAUCUAUUUAGCCACUCUAUGUCCACCUUUACAUUGAGAAUAUAUUAUCAUAUGUUGUUUUCUUUAGUUCAAGGAUAUGAGAUUGAUAGAUGGAAAGUAAAUGAAGCAAUUAAAGAGUUAAUGCAAACAUAUUAAUUAAAGUUAUAGUACUUUCAUUGUUCUAAUGUAGACUUUGUUGGAUAUUGAAAACAUUAUUCCUGUGGUGUCAUGGCCAAAUGAUAGUUUUUUUUAGCCAAAUGAUAAAGUUUAAGUAGGCACUCUUUCAUUUUCUUACGCCCUUUGUAUUCUUUCGUUCUUUCUAUUAAAUCAUUACUCAUUAUUUUUUCUUAGAAUUUAUAUUUAAUAGAUAAAUUAUGGAUGCCCAAAAUUAGGUUAUCCGAAGACUAUAAAUUGAAUGUAGAAAGUUUUCAUCAAUUUUGAAUUUUCUAAUACUUGUUUGAAAAUGUAAAAAUAGUGAAAAUCAAAGUCAAACAAAUAUUAAAUUGAUGAAAGUUAUAAAAUUUUGUUUCGGUAUGGUGAACAAUUACCUAACUCAUGUUUAUGGAGAAUCUUCUAAUUAGUUUGACAUGUACACUCUACAUAUAUGAAGAGAAUGAUGUUGGAAGUAUAAAAGAAACGUUGGAAGUUGGUCAAGAGGACUAAUUUGAUUGUGUCUAAACAUUGUACUAUUGUGUUAAUGUUACAACAUGAGAAAUAUGAAUGUAAUUAAGAUAAUUUUUAUUUUGUUUCUCUCACUAUCUAUGUCUUUGUUAAUUUUAAAAUUAUUCAUCUAUAUCAUAAAUACCAAUUUCCUUUGUCCUAAUAGUUUGUAUUCUUCAUUUUGCUUUCCUGGGUCGAAACCAUCCAUUCAAAUUAUUUUCUCUAGAAUAAUAGUAAAUUACAAAUUCUAAACAGAAAAUCCCAAAAUAUAUUAUUUCCAAAAUUGUGGUUGUUAAAGUCUAAAAUUGAAAGAAAAAAUUAAAAAAAAAAAAAACAAAGGUAUUCACAUUGUUAUAUAUGUUUUAUUAUAUAUAUGUGUGUGAAAGACCAGAAAUGGCCAUGUAGAGAAAUAGAAAAAGAAGAAGGCAAACAUAACAAUGGAGCCCCUCCAUCUAUAUAUACACAUAUUCUACAGAAGGAUGAGAGAGUGGUUUUAUUUUGAUACCAAAAGCCAUAAACUUAACUAAACGAUUUAAUUUGUACUAAUGAUGAAUAAGAUGGUCGCCCGCAUCCUUUAUUAAUUUAGCAAUUAAUUGAAUGUAAUUGUAUGGAUCGGGUGUGGUAGGAUCAUAUUUUUCAUAUUCUAUAGUUAUGUAAACCACACAUUGUUCAGGACCCUUGGGUACGGGAUGAUGAGUGAUCUUGAAGCUUUUAUAUUUCUCUAACACAUCUCCUCCAAUCGCAGUGAAACUUAUUUUAAGCUUUUCAUCAUCGAAUUGCGGUUGUUCUUUCAAAACCUCAGCUUUGCUAUCUUUUUUAACAAAAUAAUAUAAUCACAUAUACAAAACAUAUCAAAGACACUUUCAGAAAAAAUGUAGUAUAUUCACUCAAUAAUAAAGCAAAAUUAAAGUUAACAAAAUUAAAGUGAAUAUAUGAUGUAGAGAGAGGUAUGAGAUGGAUGGUGUUGAUACUCACCGAUGGUGUAAUUCCAUACUUUUAUGGAGUCAUGACUACAACUGUCCCAAUCACCUUCAUCAACUGCUACGUCUUGAAUGAUUGAAGUAACAUUAGGAAAAUGAUAAACAUUGUUUUUGACGAAAUAAUAGUAUUUGUUGGCACUUAUCUUCAUUUCUACUGGCUGCAUAAUUUUCUGAACGCAAGACAUGAUUUCGUUUAAAGAUCACUUACCCACACACAAACCCCAAUGCCUUCCUCCUUUUAUUUAUGCAACCUAUUGAUCAACUGUUUUGAAUAUUUAUAUUGGAUAAUCAUUGACUUUCAUCCAAAGUUAAAAGUAAUUGGCAAUGACAAAGAUUAUUCAUCCAUUCGGUACUGUACACUUCAACCAUAUCUGUUACAUAACCUGAUAUAUAAUUAAAUUUAGGUUUCAAUCCUAUUAGUUUAGUAUUAUAUUCUAUUUUGAUUUAUAAAGUUUUAAAGAUUUUCUAGUUUAGUCUCUUAUAUUCUAUUUUGAUUUCUAAAUUUUUAAAGAUUUUCCUUUUAGUCUUUAAAUUUUAAAAAAGAACUUACCUUGAUCCUUGUCAUUAGAAUUUCACUAAUUAUUUAAUCGAAUGAUGAUGUGACUUUUAUAUUUGGAUGACUAAGCUCUGGAUUCAUCAUAAUAAUUAAAUUCAUUAAUUGUGAGAAUAUUUAUUUGUAAUUUGAUAGAGUUUAUUUUUCUAUAUGAGUUGCUAUUAAAUUUAUUUUUUAGUUGUAUUUCACUUGGUUGUUGAUGUUAAAACCAAUAUGCGAGUUCUAAUUCAUUUUUUUAUAUUUUUUAUUUUACUCAAUCUUCUAAUGAUUUGCCUAAAAAUUUCAAUUUUAAAAUAAUGAAAAUAAAAGUUGUUGGAUGACAACCCUAUAUGAGUUCUAUAAAAAAAAUUGUAAGGUUUGUAGAUACCACAUUAGAUAAAUACAAAGUUACAUCUAAAAAUCAAAUCACUAAAUAUGUAUAGACUGUUUUUAAUUUCGUCUAUAUUUUUUCUAGAGAUAAUUAUAAAUAUAAUAAUUAGGUUCAAAAUAUUAUCAUAUAUAUAGCAAUGUUAUAAAAAAAAUUGUAGAUGUAGCAAAAUUUAUCCAAAUCUAUAAAUGAGAAGUCAAUAGCUUAUAAACUAUAAGAAUCUAUUACAGAUAGAUUUUGCUUUACAAUUUUUUAAAAGUGUUGUUAUAGACUUAAUGAUUAUGUAAUACCCCAAAACUAUUAAGGUAAUUUUAAUUUUGUUAGGUUGAAUUUUGGGUGUUGUUGGAGAAUUUGUGGAAAUUAAGUAUUUUGGAGGAGUAUUUAAUAAAGAUUAAAAGAGAGAUGAAAAGUUUGAUUUGAUGGGUUAGAGUUAACGAGGAGAGAGGAAAUGUUGGAUUCUUAUUGUUAAAGAUAGAAUAAUAAUAAUAUUAUUAAAUAAGACUAUCUCGUAAACCAUGCUUCAAGUUCACUAUUCAUCAUCUUCUUCCUCUCAUCACACAAAACUAACCUUAGAAACCCUAGCCAACGUCAAGGUUUUUCCAGGCGUUGCCUCCGUCCGACAGUCCUCAGGUGAAGCCUCGUCACCGUUUAUCUUCCACCAUCGACCGUCCUCGCAAGAAUCUGGUCUCCGUCCCUGUCAUCGUGAAGCAGCCGAUGCAAGUCUUCCUCGUUCGUCCACACCUCCAUCAGCCGCUCAACGUCGUUGUCUCCUUCACGCAUGACAUUCUCUACGUUGAAGUUCUCUCCAUUUGUUGAUGCAUUGUCGUAGCUCCAGCCCCAACCACCACAUCACCGAAGCCUUCGUCUGCAGUAACCGAGCUUCUUGACUCCAUCCGAGUCAAAUGCGAGCCACGUGCCCCCUCCCUACCAAACGCGAGUCGCACGCCUCCUCCAUCCGUGAGCCAUUUUCGAGCCAAACUCCCUUAAAGUGUGUCGAGCUUUGUUUUCUCCAAGUAACUCACCUUUUAGCCAAUUUUUGGUAAGAUUUGAUUUGGUUAGGUAUACCCAUCAAAUGAUAAUUAUUGGUUUGAGAUAAAUUCACAAUUUGGAUUAAGUUUAUUAUAUUUUUACUUGAAGAUUGACUAAAUUCUUGUGGGAGUGUUUGAGGUGUGAAAUGUUCCAUUCAAAGUUGUGUUUGAUUCAACCUCAGUCUUGGGGUAAGUUUGGGUGCCUAAUUAAACAGUGGGUGAUAGUUGACAAAAUUAUUAAUUUUAAAUUUUGUUCAUGUUUAGGGUUGAGUAUUUUAGAGGAAUAUGAUUAGGCUAUGGUGUUCUAUUAGAUUUACUCGUUUCAAUCGUACCAUAUGGGUGUCCCUUUAGAUCACCACCUAUGUAUGCUUGUGUGGCUAGUUUUGAUAUGUGAUUUGACGGGAUCACUUACAGCCCAACUAUCCUUUAGGAUGAUUCCUUCGGGUUCACCGAGAGUCCAGAUGUGUUCCUACGGGACCACUGGAUAGCGUGCGUUCAAUAUCACAAUAGUAUGCAGUAUAAAUUUAUUACAAGAUUCUAAUGGAAAGUUAAUAGACACAUAGUGGGACUAAUAGUACUGGGUCUCUUACUGAGUAUAAAUUUAUACUCAUUUUUUCAUUGUUUAAUUUUCAAGAAAAGGUAAAGGUAAAAGUAAAUUGACGAAUGACAAGAAGUGACCAUGGUUCACCAUAAGGAACAACUUAAAGUUUUCUUUUGCAUGUUAUGUUUGAGUACUUAAAUUUGAGUAUUUUAUUUUCGUAACUAUGAGCAAUUUCAAAUAUUUCAUUUUAUUUUGAUUAGGGCCCAAAUUAGUGUUUUAUUUAGUAUUUUAUUUAUCUAUUAUAUUCUUUCUUUAUAUACUUUAAUAUUGACUUUAAAUGAAUAAUUGAAACCUUUUCUUUAAAUUUUGUAUUUUCUUUUAUUUUAAAUAAAAAAAUCUAUAUUUAUUUAAGUGUAAUGACCUCAACUAGGUAGAAAAGUUGGGUAUUUACAUAUUAUUUCUAAAAUAGCUGCCUAUUAUAGUUACUCUCUUUUAUUUGUUUAUUUAUUUAAUUUGUAACAAUAUUUCUUAUUCUUAAUAUAUUUCUAUUUAUUUAUUAUAAAAAAAGAAAAAAAUAAACAUAAAAUGUGUUUUUCAAGGUCACAAGAAAAUGCAUCAAAUAUUCUUAACUCAAUAAUCCAACGUGUAGUCUCACCCUGCAAACUUCUUAAUUAAAUCCAACCAACUUAACUCUACACCCAAAUACAAACCAUCAUUACAAACUUAACUUACUCAACUUUUACAUAUAAAUAUAUGUAUGUAUAAAUGCAACAGGUACUGCUUGAUUGUGUUAAUCAUGUCAAGAGAUCAAGUUGCAUGAAAAUGAGUUUACUGAAUUGCUCCCAUAGUUUCUCCUAGACAACUAUCUCAUAGUUUCCCUCGUUAUCGUUUUAAUCCUUAGCCGUCAACAUAAAAUGGUAGCUGACUCUGGACAUGAUCUACGACUCACACUUUACCACACUACUAAAUUUCAAUUGAUGCCUUGUUUGGUGUAUUCUGCUAACUCUUUUAGGUGUGGACUUUCAAAAUCCUCAACUCCCACAUACGCCUACAUUUUAAUUUCCUUAGUUGAAAUAGACAUCUUGUAAGGAGGUACAUGUUUAUCCAUCACAUUUAAUGCGGUUAAUACGUUCCAAGAAUUUUAUUUCAACAAAAUAGUAGUUGCGCCUUCCUCUAGUUUCUAAUUGUAAUGAUCUAACUUCUUAUACCAAGUCGAGGUUAUUAGUUUAAAAUAAAUAGCAAAACUUUUAUUUGCAAAGAAAAAGAGGAAAAAGAUAAAUCUUGGAUAAAAAAAAAUUCAAAUUAUCGUUCAUAAAUCAUAAUUUGACAAAAUAAAAAAAAAAUUGUUAGGUAAAUAUAGUCCUAGUUUAGGUCUUAUCUAAAUGUUCACACAAGAUUUUCGGAGAAAUUUAGUUUUGAAGGGAUAAAAGUACUUUAGAGAUUUUACAUAAUCAUUUCUCAAUUUAAUUUGAGAAUCCCAAAAUACCAGUACAUUAGCAAAAAUAAUUAAAAAAACUAGUUUUCUUAUUAAGACUUAGAGACUAAACAUGUUUUCUAAUUACUUGUUUAUGUGUUUGAAUAAAUAAAAUAAAUCUCCAAAUUGAGAUACCACUUGUCAAAGACUUUCCUAUCCUCUAUGAUGAGAUUGGUUUAUGAGAAGAAUUUGAGAUGGAAAAAGUUUAGAGAUUAUUUAGAGAAACUCUUUUGCAGAAAAGCAAAAUUAUUCAUUUUUUUCUUUUGAUUGAAUCGUUAAAUUAGAAAACUGUUUUCUUUUAGGUAUUUAUAACUCUAUUUCUUGAAGUAGGAAAGAGAGUAGAAGAGAAUCCUGAGAUUCUAUUAAUUUAGAAAUUAUUAAAUUAAUAAAAAUUUCAAAUCAACUAAUUAAUUUACCAUUAAUCAAUUAGUUAAUAAUUAAUUAAAAUUUAUUUAAUUAAUAUUUCAUUUAAAUCUUAUUUAACUAACCUGUCUCCAAUAUUUUAUAGUUUUAUACUAACUUAAUUAAACCAUACUUAAUUAAAUAAAAUAAAACUAAAUUAUUAAUUAAUUUACAAAUUAAUUAAUAGUUAAAUUAAAUUUCUUAUAUUUAACUUAAAUUAAAUUUGAAUUAUUAUUCAAAUAUAAGUUUCUCUCGUAACCAAUAAUUUUAAAAGAAAUCCAGUUCACAUCAAAUUACUAUUUAAACUCAUUCAAAUAUUUUUAUCUCUCAUAAAUUAAUUUUGAAUCAUAUCCAAAAAUAAAUUUAUAUAAUAAAGUUUGAUAAACUUUAUAUUAUAAUGUAUUACUAUACAUAUAUUAAACUAAUUCCCAAAGUAAUUUUAAACAUUUCAAAUUAGAACCAAUAUAAAUAAAUUUUAUUACCCUUUACGAGCUAGAAAGAGAACUUAAUGGACCUACAGAUCUGAAGCUAUAACGAUCUAAGAUUAAUUACAACGAUAUGAGAUUAAUUGACUAAACUCAUUAGUCACAUUAAUCAAUAUUCGUUAACUAUGUGUACAUUUCACUAAAGACUCACUGUUGAACUAUUCUCACUGUAGAUAUAUUUUUGUGUUCAUCAAUAUAGACCAAUAACAGUAAUUUACUCAUUCACAACUGUUCGUAACACCAUGUGGAUCAAAUUACCGUUUUACCUCUAGGUUACGUCUAAUCCUUAAAUAUCAGUGCUUCUCUAAUGAACAACUUGUUUAUGGUCCAACAAUAAACAAUAAUUUCUCUUGUGCCAUAGAGAGACAUUAGAGCCCUUUGUUUAUGUCCUUGAGAUACCAUUUAAAGGAACACUAAUCUACUUACCCUCAAGUAGGGAAGUAGUGAAUUACAUCUUGUGUAAUUGUGUUAUCAUCUCCCGACUGGAUCUUGUCCCCAAAAUGAUAAGUUUAUUGAGUCGACAAUCUGGACACUCUCACUCGUAGAAAUCAAAGGACAAUCCGUCACCAACAGGAGCUCAUAAUACACUCAGGAUUAAGACUAAGUUGCCUAGGUUAUUCUAAUGAAAUAGAAACUUAACUAGUUAACGGAGUUACAUCUAGUGGUUAUUAUUUCACAGUCCGAUCUUAUGAAAACUCAUUUCAUAGGAUACCUUAACUCGCAUGUCACCUACAUGAACGUGUUGGAUCAUUGCGUUUAUAUCAAAUACAAAGUGAGCCAUAUCCAUAGUGUUACUAGGAUAAGUUACCCAACCUUAUCCCUAUACUAUAGACCUUUUAAGCUGAUUUCGAACAUUGAUCUUUGUAAUCUAUACAUACUGUUCAAGACUCAUCAAACAACUUAGGAUGUUAGUUUAUUGAAUUUGGGUUAUUAAUAGAAAAGUAAUAAUAUAAUCAAUAACAUUUAUUAGAAUUAUAAUAAUAACACUUUAUUAAUAAUGGUCAAUGAAUUAUAUUUACAUUCUACGAGUUUUAGGACAUAAAUCCCAACAAACUCUCACUUGGACUAAAACUCUAGUCUCUAUGAAAUGUACAUAAAAAUUUAAUCCUCUAACAUUGGAAAUGGUGAAAUGUACAAGUAUAUUACAUAAAACGUAUAUAUACAAAAAUAAUAAACUAGGGCAUCUUCAUACCCAUUACACAUCUCCCACUUGCCCUAGAUUACCUAAUGUACAUAACACGCAGACCUAGACUUUCUAGAUGACCCUCAAACACUUUAGCCAUGAGAGUUUUUGUAAAUGCAUCAACAAUAUGCCCCACUAUUAUCACAAUAUAAAGUAAUGAGCAUGUUCAUGUUUGGAACAACUUCCAAAUCAUGCAGGAACUUCCUGAGCCAAACUAUUUCUUUUGCUACUUCACAAGCAACGACAUACUCAGUCUUCAUAGUAGAGUCUACAAUGCAUCCUUGCUUGAUGCUACGCCAUACCACAACUUUUUCGUUUAGGGUGAACACUGAUCCCAUUGUGGAUUUUUUAGAGUCCUUAUUGGUUUGAAAAUCGGAGUCAGUGUAUCCUGUAAGGAUCAAAUCCUUAGCUCCAUACACAAACAUGUAGUCUCUUGCUCUUCUAAGAUGCUUGAGAAUACUUUUAAGCGUCAUCCAAUGGUCUAACCCUGGGCUGGACUACUGAUUAUUCCCAUUGCAUAACAAAUGUUUGGCCUAGCGUAGAGCAUAGUAUACAUUAAGUUGUCCACAGUUGGGGCAUAGGGAAUACGUCUCAUAUCCUCAACUUCUUGAGGUGUCUUAGGACAUUAUUCCUUAGACAAGUGAACCUCAUGCCUGAAAGGUAAUAAAUCAUUCUUAGAGUUUUGCAUUGAAUAUCGAACCAAUAUUUUGUUGAUAUAGGUUACAUAAGACAAUACUAGCAUUUUGUUCUUACGAUCCCUUAUGAUUUGGAGCCCAAGAACAUAUUGUGCCUCUCCCAAAUCUUUCAUUUGGAAUUGGACUGCUAGCCAAGUUUUAACGUCAGUUAGGUAUCCUACAUCGUUUCCAAUGAGAAGGAUAUCAUCCACAUAAAGUACUGAGAAAGCUAUUUUACCUUUGUUUAUUUUUCUUGUAUACACAAGGCUCAUCAACAUUUUGGUCACAACCGUAAGAUUUGAUCACAGUAUCAAAUCUAAUGUUUCAAGAUCUAAAUGGAUCGAUUCAUCUUGCAAACUUUUUGCAACUGACCAUGGGUUAUGAACCCCUCAGACUGAGACAGAAAGAUAAUCUCUUCAAGAUUGUCAUUUAGAAAAACAGUCAUGACAUCUAUUUGUCAUAUUUCAUAAUCAUAAAAAGUGACUAUGGACAAGAGAAUCUUUAUAGACUUUAACAUAGCAACAGGAAAAAAAGUUUCCUCAUAGUCAACCGCUUUCCUUUGGGUAUACCCCUUUUCUACAAGUUUAGCUUUAAAGGUCUGUACCUUCCCAGCUAAAUCUCUUUUUCUCUUAUAGAUCCAUUUUCACCCUAUAGGUUUCACUCCUUCAGGUAGAUCUACAAUCUCUCAUACUGAAUUAAAGCACAUAGACUCUAUUUCAAGGUCGUUCAUGGCUUUGACCCAUUGGUUCUUGUCUACUUCAUUCAUUACAUGUUUAUGGGACAAUGGAUCUUCAACGCCAUCAUCUAGAAUGACAACUUGAGUUUUCGUUAAACCCAAAUAAUAGUUAGGUUGUGAUAAAAUCCUCCCACUGCAUUGAGGCAUUCUCAACGAUUGAGAAGGAUGAGACUGACCUAAUGUGUUGGUUUCAUCAACUCUUGAUGAGGGACCAGCUUCAUCGACAACCCUUGUUGAUUCAUCAAUAGCUUCACUUAAUAUUAAUUUUCUUUGUGAUUUAUGAUCUCUCAUGUGGCCUUCUUCUAAGAAAGUAGCAUUUUUUGAUACAAACACUCUAUUUUCUUAUGGGUCGAAGAAUGGACUACCUGUCAUUUCUUUAGGGUAACCAACAAAUUGACAUAACCUUGAACGUUUUUUCAACAUCUUGAAAUUUGUCACUAACACGUGUACUGGACAACCUCGAAUUUUGAAGUGACUUAAACUAGGUUUAUGUCCUCUCCAUAGCUUGGAAGGUGUUUCAAAAACACUCUUGAAGGGAACAUUGUUCAAGAUAUGAACUACAGUCUCUGUUGCAUACCCCUAAAACGAGCUAGGCAAUUGAGCAUAGUUAUCAUUGAACAAACCAUGUCUAACAAGAUUCUAUUUCUCCUUUCUCAUACACCACUUUGUUGAGAUGUACCAUGUGUUGAGAAUUGGAAUUGGAUUCCAUGUUCUAUCAUAUAGUCUUGAAAUCUCAAAUCCAUGUACUCUCCACCUUGAUCAGAUCAAUGUAUUUUAAUCUUUUUACUUAAUAGAUUUUUAACUUCAACCUUAUACUCCUUGAACUUUUCAAAAGCUUCAGUCUUAUGCCCCAUUAAGUAUAAAUAAUCAUCCUCAUUAAGUAUAAAUAAUCAUACCUUGAAUAAUCAUCUAUAAUAGAGAUGAAAUAUUCAAAACCUUCUCUAGCUUUUACAUUCAUCGGAUGACAAAGAUCUGAAUGUAUAAAUUAUAGGAGCUCUAUGGCUCUAUAACCUUUUCCAGUAAAAGGUCUUUUAGUCAUAUUUCCUUCAAGACAAUAUUCACAAGGAGGCAAUGAAUCAUCUUCUAACUCAUUUAGAAGUUCAUUCUUGAUCAAUUUUCUGAUCCUAUCGAGAUUAAUGUGACCUAAUCUUAAAUGCCAAAGAUAGUUAUUGUUAUUAGAAGAAAUUCAUUGCCUUCUAUUUUUAGUAUUAGCAAUUUUAAACAUCUCAUGAUUUAAAAUUACUUUUGCUUCAUUAGGUCUUAAUACAUACAAGUUGUCUUCAAGCUUAGCUAAACAAAUAUGUACACCAUUCUUAGAAAUUGAACGAUUCAUUUAAAGAAAAUGUCACAUUAUAUGAUUAUUCAAUAAGACAAGAAAUAGAUAUACGAUUCCUUUUAAUCUUACAUGUACAAGUUUUAUAAAAACAGAAAUCUAUUUAUGAAAUACAACUUAACAUCUCCCACUACACGGGCUGCUUAAAGGAACUAGUUUCCUUUAAAGAAGAGCAAACAUGGCUAGUGGCUCUUGGAUCAAGUAUCCAAACAUUUUGGUCAUUUUGCACUGAACAUGUUUCUAAGACAAGUAAAUCAUAUUUACCUUAUUUUUUAUUCGUUUUAAAUAUCUCUUGGAGGGAGUCCAUGAUCUGAUGUGUAGUGAUCAUGGUCUCAUGUUUCUUGCUUAGUAUGUCAAACAUACUGAACAAGAGAUAGAUACAUGUCUUGUCAUUAGACAUUGUCCAACUAUUAUAUGCAUCCCUGACAUUAUGAGAUGGAUUACGAGUCGGAAAAGGAGGACAUUCCUUUAUUAAGAUGAAGUGUAGAUCAUCAUUAACCAGAAUCAUAUUCAGGUUUGUAGCAUAAUUUUCACAAAUUAUUUUUUUAUUUUUAAGCAAUUGAGUAAUUGAAGAAGACAUGUUGAAACAAUCAAUUGAUCUUAUUAGUUAUAUUUGUCUUAACUCAUUAAAUAAAAUAAUCCAAUCAAUUCAGAAAAAACAAGCAAUCAAAGAACCCUAAUCAAACAAAUGAUUUAGUUUUUGCUACGAUACUUUAAAAGUUUAGAGGAACAGCCAUCGAAGGAUGAUCAGCUACUCCUCUCCUAAAUUGAGAUAAUCUCAACUAAUAAUUAAUACAAGAAUAACUCAUACUCCAAUAGUUCUUAGCUAUCGUUGUACAGUCAAUGAUUCAUUAACUAGCUUAAUUAGUCCCGUAAAUGUGACCUUACCAUUUUCAAAUCCCAGAGGUACGCUUCAACAUACUAUCGAAAGGAAAGACAACUGUUGAAGACUAAUGAUGUGUGUCCAAACUCUUGGACAUAGACACUCAAAAAGACUAAAGUCUUUGUUCUGGAAUUUUUAUUAUUCUCUUUUUUCUCCUCUUUUCAAAUGAUAAACUAAGGGUUUCUAUACUAACCCUAAAAGUCAGCGAGUUACAACUGCCUAAUUAUAAAGCUUCCAAAAUAUAUCCGAACAGUGACUAACUACAGCAGUAACUUAACAGAGUAGCUAAUAGAACAGUAACUAAUGAGUAAAGGACAGUACAAGCUAAAUACAUCAAUUAACCUAAGAAACCCUAUCCAUUUUUGGAGUUUGUGUUAUUCCGACUUCUAUAAUCAGGCUCUCCGAAGGGAUGGUCGCUAUAGGAUGACACGCAUGCGGAUUAUAGAAAUCUCACGAUGCAACCUAAUGGAGAAGAUCGUAAGAUAUAUUGACACAUGUCCUUCUCUCACUUACUAUGAACAUUUUCCCUAUUCACCUUCUUAUUGACUCAUAGAAACACAUUCCAGAGGGAGGCCGCUCCCAGGGUGACACAAAGCCGAGUAUGAAUCUCACAUGUGAACUCUUAGGGACGUGAGAGCUAAAAAAUGAUAUAUCCUAAAUAUCAUUUUUCUCCCAUUAAAAUAUUCUAUUAGUUUAGGGUUUGUUGUACUUACCUAAAUUUCGCCUAAAUGAAUCUAUCUAAGUAUAUUCUUAUAUAAAAAAAAAUUACUCUAAAGUUUUUAGGUAUAUUAAACCAUUUAAUUUACCUAGUGACGUCUCAUGCUUAAUAGGAAUAAGGUUAAUCAACACCGAUUCUAAGCUAGUUCUCAGGUAGGAAGUGUUCUAUAAAAUGUCAACUUAAGUACCCCCAACCUUAGGCAGAACUUUAUCGAUGAAGUUCCCUUAUAACCUUAAAUUCUAUUUACUCUUAAAGUUUCUAGGUGUAUUAAACCAUUUAAUUUACCUAGUGGAACCUUAUGGUAAUAGGAAUAAGAUUAAUUCAACAUUGGUUCCUACUUAGUUCCCAAGUAACAGGUAUUCCGUAAAUCGUCAACUUAAGUACCUUCAGCCUUAGACAUAACUUUACUAGUGGAGUUCUCUUAUAACCUUAAAUCCUAUUGGUCCUACCACUACAAGAAAUCUGGUCUUUAAUGUCAGGUGCAAAAAAUGAAAAAUUGUCUUUAAUGUCGUUUUUGAAAAGACGGAUCAUUAAUGUCUUAAAACCAACAUUAAUGAUAAAGGUUUAAUGUCGUUUUUAAACCGACAUUAAUGAUCCACCAAUUUUUAAUUUUUUUCUUCAAUUUUUUGUAUUUUGUAAAAACCAACGUUAAUGACCCUUCCCAUUUUUAAUUUAUUUUUAAAAACUUUUUAGGUUUUAAAAACUAAAAUUUUUCCUCUCUUUCUUACUUUACUCUUUCCUAUCAAUUUCUCUUUUCUUCUCUCCAAGUUGAUUUCUAAUUUUCUUCUCUUCUCAAUCUGUGACCCUAGAUUGUGAACGACAACCAAUCUUCAUCGUGCCCAGUCGCCAUUGUGCUCAAAACUAAUCCCUCAAGUCAGUCACCGACGUGCUUCAGCUACAAGAAACUCCUCCUGUCCAUUCGUCUUCAAAUCCACCAUUGUGCCAGUUGUCUUCGAAUCCACCACCUUGCCCGAUCAUCGUCAUGCUUCUGCCACAAGAAUCCUUCGUGUCCAGUCAUCUUCGAAUCCACCACCCUCACCACCAUCGUGUGCCCAGCCGACCACCACCAUGUACAAACUUGGAUUUGGUAAGUACUUUUUUGUUUUGAAAUCACUUAUCUAAGCUCGAACUAGUAUUUCUAUUAUUUCUAUUUUCAUCUGUUUAAUAUAUUUUUAAUAACAUAUUUUGUUAAUAUAUGAGUUUUUUUAAAAAAAUUAAAAUUUGAAGAAAAAGAUAUGUAUAAUUUUGAUUAAGAAAAAAAUAAAUUAAAGUAGAAAAAUUGAAGAUGGAAAAUUGUGAUAUUUAAAUAUAUAUAAAGAAAAAAGAAAAAAUUAAUUAAUUUAAUAAAGAAAGAUAUUUUUAGAAUUUAAAUGUUUAAUAUAUAUAUUAUAUUAUAUGGGAGUAUGUAUAUAUAAGUAAAGAGAAAAAGUGAAAUGUGUGGGACCCACGUAUAUAAAUAAUGAGAAAAUAAAAAAAUGUGGGGUCCAGUGUAGUAUAAAUAUAAAAAUAAGGAAAAAAUAGAAUAUGUGGGAUCCACUACAUGGAAGUCGUGUACCACCCCGUACACGACUUCACCUCAAAUCACCUAUUUUUAAAAAUAGUUUUGCAUCCACCCUAUUUUUUAUAUAUGUUUCAAAUUUUAAAUUAUUUUUAAAAUAAAUCCCUCAUUUUAUCCAAAAAUUAGAAGUGAUCAUCAGUUGAUUGGAGUCAGAUUUUUGGCCCAUACCAACUUCAACCAUCACAAGUCAGUAUGAAUAUCGUUGAACCAAUUCUUGCCACAAUUCCAACCAAGUAUGAAAAUCUUAAGGGUAGGUUAUCCAAAGAAUAUGAAUUGGGUGUAAAAAGCUUCAUCAAUUUUGAAUUUUCUAAUACAAAUGAUUCGUUUUUUGUUGUGCAUGUUUGAAAUGUGAAAAUUGUGAAAAACAAAGUUGCACUAAUAUUAGAGAUCAAAUAUGUCAAUGAAAUUGAUGAAAGCUACAAAAUUUGGUUUUUGCAUGGUGAAAUAACUACUAACUCAUCCUUAUGUAUAAAAAAUCUUCUAAGUUUGACAUUUACAUGUAUGAAGAGAAUGAUGUUAGAAGUCUAAACGAAAUCUUAGAAAGUUGUUCAACUAAUCUGAACGUGUCUAAACAUUAUUACGUUACCAUUAGUGUUGAUGUAACAACAUGAUAAGUAUGAACGUAGAUAACUUUUGUCUGUUUGUCUCACUUUCUAUAUUCUUAUUAUUUUAAAGUUAUUCAUCUAUAUCAUAAAUAAAUAUCAAUUUCCUUUGUCAUAAUAUUCUGAGGAAUAGAUUCUUCAUUUUGCUUUCAUCGGUCGAAACCACCCCAUUCAAGUUAUUUUCUCUAGAUUCGACAGAAUAAUAAAUUACAAAUUCUAAACAAAAAACUAUAAAAUAUAUAUUAUUUCCAAAAUUGUGGUUGUUAACGUCUAAAAUUGAAAAAAAAAAAAUUAAACCAAAGGUAUUAAUAUUGUCAUAUAUGUUUUAUUAUUAUUGUUUGAAAGACCAUAAAUGGCCAUGUAUAAGAAAAAUAGAAAAAGAAGAAGGCAAACGUAACAGUGGAGCUUCCAUCUAUAUCUAUUUUACAGAAGGAUGGGAGAAUGGUUUUAUUUAAUUUGCACUAAUCAUGAAUAAGAUGGGCUUCCACAUCCUUAUAAGCUUUGCCAAUUAGUUGAAGGUAAUUGUAUGGAUCGGGUGUGGUAGAAUCAUAUUUUUCAUAUUCUAUAGUUAUGUAAACCACACAUUGUUGAGGAGUACUCUUCGGUACGAGAUGAUGAGUGAUCUUGAAGCUUUUAUAUUUCUUUACCACAUCUCCUUCUAUCACAGUGAAAAUUGCUUUAAGCUUUUCAUCAUCGAAUUUCGAUUGUUCCUUCAAAACCUCAGCCUUGCCAUCUUUUGUUAACAAAAUAAUGUAAUCACAUAUACAAAACAAAUCAAAGAGACUUUCAGAUAAAAUGUUAUAUAUUCACUGAAUAAAGAAAAUUUGAAGUUAACAAAAUUAAAGUGAAUAUAUAACAACAUAUAGAUAGCUAAUGAGAUGGAUGGUGUUGAUACUCACCGAUGGUGUAAUUCCAUACUUUCAUGGAGUCAUGACUACAAUUGUCCCAAUCACCUUCAUCAACUGCUACGUCUUGAAUGAUUGAAGUAACAUUAGGAAAAUGAUAAACAUUGUUUUUGAUGAAAUAAUAGCAUUUGUUGGCACUUAUCUUCAAUUCUACUGGCUGCAUAAUUUUCUGAACGCAAGACAUGAUUUCGUUUAAAGAUAACUCACCCACACCUAAACCCCAAUGUCUUCCUCUUUUAAUACAUGCAACCUAUUGAUCAACUAUUUUGAAUAUGUGUCCUGGAUAAACAUAGACUUUCAUCCAAUAUAUAAUUAAAAUGAGGUGUUAUCUUAUUCUACUUUGGUUUCUAGAUUUUUAAAGAUUUUCGUUUCAGUCCUUUAACUUUUAGAUGAAAAUAAAUUACUUUCAUUCGUGUCAUUCAAAUUUCACUAACUUUUUAACAUAACAAUGAUACGAUUUUUGUAUUUGGAUGACUAUGUCUAAAUUCAUCAUAUUAAUUAAAUUUAUUAAUUAUAAAAAUAUUUAUUUACAAUUUUAUUGAGUUUAUUUCCCACACGAGUUGUUCUUAUAUUUAGUUUUUUUUUUUUUUUUUUUUGUUUUAUUUCACCUCGUCUUGAAUGCUAACAUACCAAUAUAAUCUUCUCAUGAUUUGCUUAAAAAUUUCAGUUUAAAAAAAAAAUGAAAUAAAAAACCGAAACAUGAUAACCCUAUACUGAGUUCUACAAAAAGGGUAAGGUUUCGUAAUCUUUGAUACCACAUUAGAUAACUACAAAGUUAUAUCUUAAAAUCAAAUAACUAACUACACAUAUAUAGACUGUUUUUAGUUUCGUUUAUAUAUUUCAAAAAAAAUUAGUUGCAAAUAUAACAAUUAGGUUCAAAAUUUUAUAAUAUAUAGCAACAAUUUUAAAAAAAUUACAAAUCAGUCAUUUAUAAAUAACAAGAAUCUAUUAUAAAUAGACUUUAGUUUACAAUUUUUUGAAAAUGUUAUUAUACACUUAAUUAUUAUUUCUAGAGUUGCUAUCAAUUCUUUUUUUUUGUUUGUUUAUUUAAAAUUUAACAAUACUUCUUAUUCUUCGUAUAUUUUUAUUUAUUUAUUAUCAAAAAAGAAAAAAAAAACAUAAAAUAUGUUUUUUUAAUGGAAAACGAAAAUGCAUAAAAUAUUAUUAAUUAACUCAAUUAUAACACAUAGACUCUGCACUCCACAAACUUGUUAACUAAAUGAGAGCAACUCAAGUACACACCCAAACACAUACAAUUAUUUCAAACUUAACUGACUCAACUUUAUGUUUUGUAAGUGGCAAUUAAGUGAGAUAGUUUUAUUGAACAUAUAAAUAUAGGCAUGAGCUUGAUUCUGUUCAUCAUGUCAAGAGAGGUUGGAAGGAAAUGAGUUUACGGAAUUGGUCCCAUACUUUCUCCCAGAUAACAGCUUCAUAGUUUCCCUCAUUAUCGUUUUCAUCCUUAGCCGUUAAGAUAAAACGGUAGUUGACUCCGGCCACAAUCUGCGACUCGCACUUGACCACACUACUCAAUGCCAAUUGAUAUCCUCCUUCUUUGUUGUACUCUGCUACCGUCCAUUCUGCUAAUUCUUUUAUGUGUGGAUUAUCAAGAUCCUGAACUGGAGUAUAAUCCGACAUUUCAAUUUCCUUGCUUACUAGAAAUACACACAAACUUAUGAAAUAUGGGUAAUUAGUAAGUGCCUCUCCUAUCCAAACAACAGAGGUUCAUAUUUAUACUACCAUUCCCAACCCACCUCCAAUUAUUACUUCUUUUUCUGUUUUAAUUUUUUU